rnacentral:lncRNA from 1 species
UGCAGACAGUUAGCUUCUAAUAGAGUCAUGGUGGUAUUAACAGCUAGAGAUGAGAAGAGGGGUCUUGAAGCUGUGGCAAAGCUUCACGAAUCUAGCCUGUCUAAUGUAGUUUUCAUCAGCUUGAUGUGAUGGAUGCCAAUAGUAUCACUUCCUUGGAAAAAUUCAUUGUAACCCAUCAUGGGAAGCUUGAUAUUUUAGCAAGGAAUCGAGCAUUUUGUGAGGAGCAUUUUUUUACUCAUUUUUCUUCUGCUAGGGGAAAAAAGGGAAAAAAAUCUUGGGGAUUUGAGAGUUUGAGAUUAGUAUGAUACCUCACUUACAGGGCUUUGAAAAUUUUAUACCUCAAUAAGGAAGAAAAGCAAAAACAUUUUAAUCAUGUAGGGAAACAUUUCUUGUUGCCUUACUUCAUCUUACCAUGAUAAGAACAAUAAAAGCAAAUUUAAGAAUACAAGAAAAUCGAAAUCAGGUAAGCUGCCAUUCAUUUGGAGUGAGUGCAAGCCAGGUGAGAAUAAAUAUAACAGCAAUAUAAAGAGAAUCAGAGGGAUUCCAAAUUGAUCAGCAAUAUGAAAUCAAAAUUUUAUGCAGGUGAGUAAUGCAGGGGUUAGUGGAGCCAUUGUCGACUGGGAAGCAAUUAAGACCUUAAAACUUGAGGACGGUAAGGUAUGUAAUUACAUGCUCUUGAAAACUCAUCACCAGGAACACUAAGCUCAUCUCAAUGUCUAUCAAAGAUAUAUUGCAAUGGAUAAAUUUAAAGAGUCAGAUAUCAUCAAUGAUUGAAUAUUGCUUCACUGAUGCAGAAUAAUACUAAUGUAGCUGAAUUGCUGAAUAAAGCCUCAAAGCAAACUUAUGGGUUGGCUGAAGAAUGUGUAAAAACAAACUGCUAUGGCACCAAAGGGGUGACUGAGGCCCUUCUUCGAUGCCUUCUGCUAUCAAAUUCAGGAAGAAUUGUGAACGUGUCUGGAGGUCUUGGAAAACUUCAGGUAUGUAAAUGUAAUUGCACCUUCACGGGGAAAUGAUAAAACCAAAUUCGAACUUUAUAAUGCAUGAGUCAUGUCUAGCAUUUCCAUUAAUCAUAAGAUUAAUGUUGAGUUCUUCCUUAUUUUAUCAGUUUGUCCCCAGUGAAAGGGUUAGAAUGGAGCUAAAUGAUGUUGAUGUACUCUCAAUAGAGACAGUAGAUGAGAUAGUAAAUGAAUUCCUCAAGGAUGUUAAGGAUGACAUGUUACAUGACAAAGGCUGGCCAACUCAGACAUCUGCAUAUACAAUCUCCAAAGCAGCCAUGAAUGCUUACACAAGGAUUGUUGCCAAAUCAUACCCAAGUCUCCUCAUAAAUUGUGUUUGUCCUGGUUUCGUCAAAACCGAUAUGACUUCCAACACUGGUCUCUUCACUGUUGCAGUGGGUGCCAAAGGCCCUGUUAUGUUGGCUUUGCUUCCAGAGGGAGGACCUUCUGGCCUCUUUUUGGAAAAGAUGGAGGCAUCAACCUUUUGAUCAUAAGUCAGUUACAGGAAUGAGUUGGUUUCCGGCUUUAUGUAUUUCCUAUGGUUGUAUUUGUAAGGUUAUCCAACUUUUCCUAUUGCUUUGCUGAGACAACGGGGUAAUGAAUGUGAAGCUUCUCUUGUAUUCAGAGUUAUAAUCAUGAACUUUAGCUGUCUGUGACAAUUGAUAAUCCUUUUAAAAGUAGGAACUAGGAAACCAGUCUCAUUUCAAUAUAUGCAAAUUAAUUCUUAUUUAAUAAAGAAAUUCCACGGGAUAGGACAUGGGAUUGGAAGCUCAAUUUGAACUGGCAUUCAGGUAUUUCAUCUAAUUUCUUUAAUGGUUAUCCGCUCUUGUAAGAAAUUGUUCAGUUCUCCGCAUUUCUAUCACUUACAACUUGUUUCUCUCUGCUGGCUUAAGGAAGUAGAGGACAGAGCAGGUGAAUCAUUACCUAAAGCUCAUGAUGCCAACAAAGUUUUGCAAUCUCAACAGAAGACGUCCUGCCAGAAGUCAAUGUAGUCACAAGAAUCUACAAUAACUCAAUAGAAUAUUUGGUGUCCCCUUGUCGGGAAGGUUGUGUUUGCAGCCAGCUAUUUGAAAGUAAUAUGACAAACUCCAAUCAAUUGGAAUAUGAAAUUUGACUCUCAAAGGAAAAUAUUAUCUUUCUCAUGCACUCUUGGUUGACACCAUUUUAUGUUCUUAAAUUGCCCCUCUUUGCCUUCAUGUUAGCUAUAAUCUUGUCUCCAUAUCAGCAGCAAGCCCCCUCCGUGUCACAGGAGAGAUUGAAAAUUUUAAAAACAAAAAAAUCUGAAUUUGAAACUCAUGAAAAAUCACCCGACUCGACAAUCGACAAUCGACUAUUAUUUCUCUAAUUUGAAACUUUUCUUCUAUUUGAUUUGGGAACAUUUCUCUCUCUCUCUCUUGGUUUCAUCACCCACACAAUCUCAAGAUCCAUCUAAAAUUUCCCAAAAAUGGUCUCAUUUGAGAGAAAAAAAAUCAUUAAUUCAAAACUACAACCUAUGUGUUUCUCUCUUGUCCAGGUAAAAUUGCAACAAAAUGGAUCAUUCCAUCUUAAGAAUGUUCGAUUAAAAGACAACUUCAAGAGACACAUAUGUGAUUGUGAAUUUACUACAACAACGUGUACUCGAACGAAAAGGUAAAAUCCAAAAUAUUGGGUUCAUUAACAAGAUAUCUCUUCUUGUCAUUGAGUCGCAUUUUACCCUAACCCCAAAUUGAAAUUUGAAGGUAAAUAAUUUUUAUUUAUUGUUCUUUUAGUUCAUUUGUUUGAAACCAAUUAGAGAGAAGAAAAGUUUCAUAUUAGGGAAAUAACAGCCGAUCGGGUGAUUUUUCGUAUAUUUCAAAUUCAGAUUUUUCUAUUUUUAAAAUUUUAAGUUUCUCAUGUGACAUGGAUGGCUUGCUGCUGAUAUAGUGAAGGCAAGGAGGGGCAAUCUAGGAACAUAAAACGGAGUCAGCAAAGAUUCCACGAUAAAGAUAAUAUUUUACUUUUGACGGUCAAGUCUCAUAUUACAGCUUAGUGAAUUUGAUUGUCAUGUCACUUUCAAAUAGUUGGCUGCGAACUCAACUUUCCCUUGCAUUUAAAACAAUGAAUAUAUCGAUUGAUAAUGGCCUUUAAAACGAUGACAUUGUCGGCCCUGCAAUGAAAUCCCCAACGCUCAAACACCACCAAGCCACCUACGGAUAGAGAGAGAGAGAGUGGGGAACUUAGCAAAAGCAGAGAGCUUCCUCUGCAACCCACGCCCACGCCCACGCCCACGCCGGUGACACUAUGGAGACGAAGUAGAGAGAUGAGAUACCAGCACCCAAGAUCGUCGCCAAUGUAGGAGGAGGGAUCCACGAAGGUGUUGCUGUCCACCCCGUGGUGAGGUUAGCAAAGAAAUGCCCUUAACCUCCUCUUCUCAGACACCUCAAAGACAAUCACGGCUUGGACUAAAAAACUUUUCAAAGACUUCAUCGGGGUCAUCUUUUUCAUCACGGGUCUUCAAUCAUGGGUCGUGAUUCUAGUCAAAAAAUUUUCCUUUUGAAGAGUUAUUGAUUUUUCAAAAAUUUGUCAGUUUGUUGUUUUGGUCUCUCUCUCUCUCUCUCUCUCUCAGUUUUGGGUGCUGUUUUGCUGUGAUUUGAAAGGAAAUUUGUUUGUUUAGAGUUUACCUCAAAAAAGUUUCGGUAACUCGGAUGAUUCGCCCGAGUGAACUCGGUAUCUCGACCGAAUCAACUGAGUUUAACCGAUUCCUGGCCGAAGAUGGUAUCGGGUAUCGGACUCGGCGCGGAACCAUGCAGCAUUGACUAUCAUGGUUGGGAAAUUAUUCAGUUUUUGCCUUUAGGUAUUAUAUUCUUACUGGUCAGGUCAGAUGUUUGGGGUCACAUUAUAUAGUCAUGCCCAGAUCCCGUAUUUCAAACAAGAAUCUGCUGCGGAAACUUGCAGAAGAUUCUUUUUGGAUUUGAUAAUUUUAAACAUUUGGCUUGGGGCUUGGAUUAUUCUGCUCAAAAUCUUCAAUAAGACAAAAACUUUUGAAGAAACUAUAAAGAAUAUUCAAAUUGCAUGGCGAAAUUCCUAUAAAAACUAUGCUUUUGUACAUACCUAUAUAUAGAUGACCAUGUCCCAAGAUGUCCAUAUAAAAUUAUGUCUGAGUUGGUAUUGAUCUUGUCAACGUCCAACUUUACUAUAUCUUAUAUUAAGCUUAUAUAGCAAUCAUCAUCAAAUGAAAUUAAUUAGAAAUACAAUAAAAUUGCCCGACAGAGGCCUAUUCAAAGGUGGAAUGAAGAUUGUAUAAUUUGUAUUGGUUGAUUUUGUAGAGGGGUGAGAAUCACUCUGUGCUGGAGAUCACCAUUUACAAGAAGGUUUGCAUUAAAGGGUACCUGGAUAAGUGUUCAGUUAAACCUAGCAUUCCUCUUCUGAUCCAAAAGAAAAUGGCAUCAACCACCUCAGAUUCAACAACAAUGAGGUAUGGCCUUUUUUUAAGCUACUAGUUGUAGACUGCAACUCAUAGCUGUUGAGAAUAAAAAGCAGUAGCAUAUUCUUAAUUACUAUUUAUUUUUGGUUUUCAGAUAUGCAGUUGUAACUGGAGCAAGUAAAGGAAUUGGACUAGAGAUAUGCAGACAGUUAGCUUCUAAUGGAGUCAUGGUGGUAUUAACAGCUAGAGAUGAGAAGAGGGGUCUUGAAGCUGUGGCAAAGCUUCACGAAUCUAGCCUGUCUAAUGUAGUUUUUCAUCAGCUUGAUGUGAUGGAUGCCAAUAGUAUCACUUCCUUGGCAACAUUCAUUGUGACCCGUUAUGGGAAGCUCGAUAUUUUAGUAAGGAAUCAACCCUUUUUGGAAGGACAUUUUUUACCCAUUUUCCUUCUGCUAGGGAAGAAAAAAAAUACACCUUGGGGAUUUGGGAGCUUGAGAUUAGUAUGAUACCUCACUUAGAGGGCUCUGAAAAAUUUAUACCUCAAUCAGGAAGACAAGCAAAAACAUUUUAAUCAUGUAGAGAAACAUUUCUUGUUGCAUUACUUCAUCUUACUGUGAUAAGAACAGUAAAAGCAAAUUUAAGAAUAAAACAAAUGGAAAUCAGAUAAGCUGCAAUUUAUUUGGAGUGAUUGCAAGCCAAGUGAGUAUAAAUACGAUAGCAAUAUUAGGAGAAUCAGAUGGAUUCUAAGUUGAUCCGCAAUAUGAAAUCAAAAUUUUAUGCAGGUUAAUAAUGCAGGGGUUACUGGAGCUAUUGUCGACUGGGAAUCAAUUGGGACAGCAAUUAAGACCUUAAAGCCUGAGGAUGGUAAGGUAUGUAAGUACAUGCUCUUGAAAACUCAUUACUAGGAAGUCUAAGCUCUUUCUCAAUGUCUAUCAACCAUAUAUUGAAAUGAAUAGUUUUGUAGUUUCAUUUCUAAGUUUAAAGAGGACAGAGUCAGAUAGUAUCAAUGACUGAAUAUUGUUUCACUCUUGCAGAAUAAUGCUGAUCUAGCUGAAUUGUUGCAUAAAGGCAUGAAGCAAACUUAUGAGUUGGCAGAAGAAUGUGUAAAAACAAACUACUAUGGCACCAAAGGAGUGACUGAGGCCCUUUUUCCAUGCCUUCUGCUAUCAAAUUCAGGAAGAAUUGUGAAUGUGUCUUCAGGUCUUGGAAGCCUUAAGGUAUGUAAAUGUAAUUGCACCUUCAAGGGGAAAUUCUAAAACCAAAUUCAAAGUUUAUAAUGCACUAGUCCUGUGUAGCAUUUCCAUUAAUCAUAAGAUUAAUGUUGAGCUCUUCCUUAUUUUAUCAGUUUGUCUCCAAUGAAAGGGUCAGAAUGGAGCUAAAUGAUGUUGAUGUACUCUCAGUAGAGAGAUUAGAUGAGAUAGUGAAUGAAUUCCUCAAUGAUGUUAAGGAGAACACGUUACAUGACAAAGGCUGGCCUACUCAGACAUCUGCAUAUACAAUCUCCAAAGCAGCCAUGAAUGCUUACACAAGGAUUGUUGCCAAAUCAUACCCAAGUCUCCUCAUAAAUUGUGUCUGUCCUGGUUUCAUCAAAACCGAUAUGACUUCCAACACUGGUUUCUUUACUGUUGAAGUGGGUGCCAAAGGCCCUGUUAUGUUGGCUUUGCUUCCAGUGGGAGGACCUUCUGGCCUCUUUUUCCAAAAGAUGGAGGCAUCAACCUUUUGAUAAGUCAGUUAAGAAUGAGUUGGUUUUCUGCUUUAUGUAUUUCCUAUGGUUGUAUUUGUAAGGUUAUCCAACUUUUCCUAUGCUUUGCUGAGACAAUUGGGUGAUAGAUGUGAAGUUUCUCUCGUAUUCGGUGUUAUAAUUAUGAACUUUAGCUCUGUUUGUGACAAUUGAUAAUAUUUUUAUAAGUAGGAACUAGGAAAAACCAGUCUCAUUCUUACUUUGGAAUGUUCAUGUGUUAUUUAUCUCAUCAUAUGCAAAUUAAUUCUUAUUUGAUAAAGAGAUUCCACGGUGUUGAGUUUUUAUCUAAGUUCCUCAAUGAAUUGAGAUCGAACACCAAUCCAAGACAAAGAAAACAAUACCAAAAAUCAAAACAUAACAAAAAAAAAACAAAAAACAAAAAACAAGCAGGAUUUAUGUGGUUCAGAUCCAAGAUUGAAUUCUACAUCCAUAGAUUAAGAUCACCUCCAAAAAUCCAUUAAGAUUGAACCAGUUUACACCCUCAAGAACCUCUGAGAAUCAUCAAGCUCUCACUACAGUACAAAGAAAAAGACUCGCAUUCUGAAAUCCUCACUUCUUUUCUUCAAUUCAGAAACUCUUUUUUUUUUUUUUUUUCCUCUCACACCUUUAUACAAUGAGAUAUCUCUCAUAUACAUGAGUACAUGAAAAAUAUGCUAAGCAAAACAGGUGUGCGAGCUUACACUUUCAGUUAGUUAAUCAACUAACUCUACUUACGUGGCCAAUCAAUUUUGGACCACCAAUUUCCUCAUUCUCCACCUUGGUUCAUAAUUGAUUUUGGAUUCUUCGGAUGAUGAAUUUGAUCUGACUUAAUCAUUAGUUGCACACGAUUUAGACCAAAUCCGGGCAAUACCUGAAUUUGCUUACCGGUACAACUUUAGUUGCCAUGUCUUGUAGAUUAUCAAUUGCGGAAAUCUUCGCCAACUUCACUGUUCCUGAGCUUACCACUUCUCUAAUGAAGUGAUAUCUAAUAUCAACAUGUUUGAUCCUUUCAGGAAACAUGGGGUUUUUACAUAGCUGAAUUGCACUCUGGCUGUCUGAAAAUAUUUCCACUACACUAUUCAGCACUCCAAGCUCCUUGACAAGUCCUUGCAACCAAAGAGCUUCUUUCAUGGCUUUAGUAACUACUAUAUAUUCAGCUCCAGUGGUUGAAAGUGCUACUAUUGAUUGUAGCUGUGACUUCCAGUUGACAGGUCCUCCAAAUAAAGUGAAAUAUAACUAGUAGUUAACCUUCUUUUAUCAAGAUCCCUUGCAUAAUUUGAAUCCACAUAAUGUGUGAUACCAACACCUUCUUUAGAAGAUCCAAACUUCAAUCUUACCCAAGAGAUUCCCUCACAUAUCGUAGUAGCCAUUUAACUCCAUUCCAAUUUUCCUUACCUGGGUAAGCCAUAAACCUGCUCAAAACACUUAAUGAGCUAUAUCUGGUCGUGAGCAUACCACUGCAUACAUGAGUGACCUUGUAGCAUUAGCAUAUGGGACAUAAUUCAUUUCUUUUCUUUCAUCUUUAGAUUGAGGACAUUGUGUGAUGUAGGACAACCCUAAGAUGGUUGCCUACACUCAAGGGUAAGUGGACUAGGAUUUUAUUUUUAGGGUGUAAGGAGAGGAACAAGGAAUAAAUUUUAUGGUAGAGAAAAUUAUAAUAUAAUAAAUAAAGAGAAAGAAGAAACAAUGAAGAAAAGAUAGAAAACCUUAGAGUCUCACUAAAGCCUUCUAGGAGUCUCACCUAGAAGAAAAUCAAUGGAGUCUCACCAUUGAGGGUUGCAACCUUGCAAUGAAAGAAAAUAUAAUAUUAUUCAUAUCAAUUCAGUCAUUUGAUUUACAUUGAUUAAUCUAUUUAUAGGCUUCUUUAAGAAAUUCAAAGUUUACUAGGACUCUAAUAACCUAUUAUGAUUUUAAUUCUAAUUAUAACAUCUAAAGUCUACUAGGACUCUAAUAACCUAUCAUGACUCAAAUUCUAAUUAUAUUAUAACUCAACUAGCUAAUCCUAAUUAGAUUUCAACAAAUACCAAUCCCAAUUCAAUUCUAAUUAAUAUUAAUUCUACUUAAAGUUUACUUAGGUCUUCACUUUUUUCCUUAAAUAAACUUUAAAAGGUUUUCCCCCACCAAUUCUCCCCGGCUUGAAAGAACUCGGCUUCGACAAGUUAGAUGCUUGAUACAAUUCAUAGAGAUCGGGGUUAAGCUUCUGAAAAUCCGUUGUCGCAAUCCAUUUAUUCUCAGAGUGUGGUUUGCCUUGCCAUUUCACCAAAAAAUUUUGAUAUCCACCUUGUCGAGUAGACAUAAGUUGAUCAUCAAGAACAUACUCGAUCUCAGGACGUGGGCUAAGAGUAGGUGGUAAUUGAAGAUCCAACUCUUCACUUACAUCGUUGUGAUGGCCAUGGUAGAUAUACAAAUCUUCCACAUUAAAUAUUGGACUAAAAUGCAAGUUUGAAGGGAGCUCUAACAAAUAAGCAUUCUCACCCAACCGCUUUAGUACUCGAAAUGGACCCAUUUUCUUAGCUUGAAGCUUUUGAUAUGUGCUCGAAUGAAAUCUUUCUGGCCAUAGACGAACCAUCACUAGAUCACCUUCUUGAAACUGAAUAUAUCUUCGAUGUGCAUUUGUUGCCUCUUUAUAGUUCUCAUUGCUGAUUUUGAUUUUUUCUCGUACCUUUUCAUGUAUAUCUCAUAUAUGACGUGCAAAUGCAUCACCAUCUUGGCUAGUGCAGAUAGAAGUAGGCAAUGGUAAAAGAUCAAUAGGUUGCUUAGGUUUCAACCCAUAUGCCACUUCAAAAGGUGAGUACCCAGUAGUACGAUUAGUGGAGCUGUUGAAAGCAAAUUCGGCUUGUGGUAAGACAUUGUCCCAAUUUCUCAACUGAUCUCUCACAGUGCAUCUCAAAAGAUUACCAAGGCUGUGAUUGACAACUUUUAUUUGUCCAUCAGUUUGAGGAUGAAAAUAAUUUGAAAACUUUAAUUGAGUACCUAGCUUGGCCCACAAGGUUUUCCAAAAAUAACUUAGAAACUUGACAUUGCGAUCAGAAACAAUGGAUUGUGGUAAUCCAUGCAAUCGAACUGCUUCUUUAAAGAACAAGGCAGCAACAUAAGAAACAUCUGAAGCCUUCUUACAUGGGAUAAAAUGUGCCAUUUUGGAAAAUCUAUCAACCACAACAAAUAUAGAAUCAAAGCCCCGUUGUGUCCUUGGUAAUCCAAGUACAAAAUCCAUGGUCAAGUCUUCCCAAGGUUCGGAUGGAAUUGGUAACGGUGCAUAUAACCCUGUAUUUUGCUUUGAAUCCUUUCCUACUUGACAUGCUCGACAUUGUUUGAUAACCUUCCAAACAUCCUUCUUUAAACUAGGCCAAAAAAAGCGAUCUUCCACCAAAGCAAUGGUCUUAUCUCGUUCAAAAUGUUUACCCAUUCCGCCUCCAUGAAGUUCCCAUAUGACAUGAUCACGUAGGGAAGUCCUUGGUGAGUAUAAACGAUUUUUAUAAAACAAGUACCCUUCUAAAAUUUGGAAAUCAAUACGUGUUGCUUUUGAACCACUCAAAAGAGAGGAAUGAACAUCUCCAAAAUCAGCAUAAUUGUCAUAGCAAUGCUCUAAUUCUUCAAAUCCAAUUGUAGUGGCUAACAUGUUUACUAAGAGAAGGGCCUUCCUACUAAGGGCAUUGGCUACUUUAUUUUCAAUUCUUGCACAAUGCUUUAAAUUAAAGGCAAACAACUGAAGAAAACUACUCCAUUUUGCAUGUUGAGAGUUAAGCUUCUUUUGAGAAUUAAGAUAUUGCAAGACUUUAUGAGCUGAAUACAAAACAAAUUCCUUAUAACUGAGAUAAUGUUGUCAAUGCCUAAUUGCUUGCACCACCCCAUAGAAUUCAAGAUCAUAUGUGGAGUAUUUUUUUUCUUUGCCCCAUUGAACUUCUCACUAAAGAAAGCCACAGGAUGUCCCUCUUGGCUAAGAACUGCUCCAAUUCCCACAUGGGAAGCAUCACAGGCCACCUCAAAUACUUUCUCAAAGUCUGGUAGACGUAGGAUAGAAAGGUUCACCAUCUUGGAUUUGAUUUCUUCAAAUGCCUUGUUGGUCGCCUUAGUCCAAAUAAAUAAACCAGGUUUCACGCAUUUAGUAAUUGGGACCAUAAUAGAGCUGAAAUUUCAAAUAAAUCGUCUAUAAAAUGUAGCCAUUCCAUAGAAGCUUCGCACCUCAUGGAUAUUUGUUGGUACUGGCCAAUCAACAAUAGCUUUAAUCUUCUUCGGAUCUGUUUCAACACCCUUAGAAGACACAACAAAGCCAAGAAAUACAACACUAGGGCUCAUGAAAGUACGUUUUUUCAAAUUAAUGUAAAAAUUUUCAACCUUAAGAGUGUGCAUUACUUGCUUCAAGUGUUCUUCAUGAUCUUCACAAAAUCGACUAUAGAUAAGAAUAUCAUCAAAAUAGACAACAACAUAACCCGCAUGAAGGUACUUGAAGCAUUGGUUAGUCCAAACGGCAUGACUAAUCACUCAUACAAUCCAUUCUUAGUUUUGAAAGAUGUCUUCCAUUCAUCCCCUUGUCUAAUACAUAUUUGAUGAUAUCCACUUCUUAGAUCAAUCUUUGAGAAGAUUACUGAUCCAACCAUCAUAUCUAGCAUGUCAUCAAGUCUUGGAAUUGGAAAUCGAUACUUGAUUGUGAUUUUGUUGAUUGCACGACUAUCCACACACAUCCACCAGGAUCCAUUAUUCUUUGGUGUUUGUAGGGCAGGAACUCCACAAGGACUUAGGCUUUCACGAAUAAAGCCUCUAGUAAGUAAUUCAUCAACUUGCCUUUUCAAUUCAGCAUGCUUUGUUGGAUUCAUUCUGUAGGCUGGUAAAUUUGGUAAUGAUGCAUCGGGAAUCAAAUCAAUGGCAUGUUGUAUGUCACGCAUAGGAGGGAGUUGAUUAGGUAACUCUGCAGGCCACAAGUCAGAAAAGUCAUCAAGGAUUUUACGUACGUUUGUAGGAUAUUCCUUAUCUUGUUCUUUAAAUUCUUCCACUUUCCGAGCCAUCAAAGCAAAAAUAACUUUAGUUUCCUUGCUCUCAUUUUCAAAUUGACACAUAGUAAGUACCUUUUUUGGUUGUGCAUUCUCCUCCGACUUCUUAAUUGGAGGGACUUCUUUUAUUGGACGAAGGAUCUUCUUACGUCCGUUGUGUAUGAGAGCAUAUAUAUUUUCAUAGCUAUCAUGUUGAACUCUUCUAUCAAAGAGCCAAGGUCUUCCAAGUAAAAUAUGACUUACUUUAAUGGGUAAGACCUUACACCGUACAGACUCUUCAAAGUCCUUACCAAAAAGGAAUGUUACUAAGCAGUGAAAACUUAUCGGGAUAGAGGUGUCAUUAACCCAUGCUACUUUGAAUGGAUUUGGAUGUCUCUCUGUUUUAAGGUUUAGCUUCUCAACAAGUUCUUGUGAAGCUAUCUUCAAACUGCUACCCCCAUCAAUGAUUAUGGUGCAUAAUCUCCCUUGACAAGAAAUACGUGUUUGGAAAAUGCUAGCAUGUCGCCAAUCUUCUUCUCGUUGGGACAAUUAAUAAAGGUCGUACUACAAGACUAUGUCCUUCCGUCAUACCAUCAUAGUAGUCACAUUCUUCACUAACUUCAUCUUCAUUGUAGGUCUCUUCUUCCUUUGGGUAACUUUCCAAUUCAGAUUAUGGUUAUUUAACACAAAAGUGUGAACCUUUGGUUAGGCAUACAACAACAUAAUGACCAUGCCCACCACACUUAAAGCAUAAAGGAGUCACGUCUACUUUUCUAUCUCCAAUACUCAUUGAAGUUUUACCCUUAUUACCAUUCUUAUGAGCCACAUUCAAAGUUUGUUGAGUGUUGCCCUCACCAUUCACAUGAUUAGAAGUUUUGAAGUUUGAUGUGCUUAAAGGUUUACUUGUUGUCCUGUUGGAGAAAGUGCUCCCAAUUUGUGAACUUGGAUGCUUGGAAACCCGAAAUUUGAGGCCUUCUUCUAUUUUGAGGGCUAGUUGAUAAACGUCAUCUACGGUAUUAGUGUGUGCAACUAUCAUCUCAAGUUGAAUCUCCAUUCGAAGUCCAACUUUGUAGCGGGUUGCAAGUUGAGCAUCACUUUCCCACACUUGAUUUCGAAUGCUCAAUUCAUGAAAUUCUUCUGUAUAUUCUUCAACGGACUUGGUACCUUGUUUAAGGGAAAACAAUUUUGUAUACAUAAGUUAUUCAUAAUCAAUUGGGAGAAAGUGCUCCUUCAUCUUCAACUUCAUCUCGUCCCAUGUGUCAAUAGGCGGUUGGCCAAUUCUAUGAACUUGAUUCUCAAUAUUAUGCCACCAUAGACGUGCUGCUCCUUUCAACUUUGCUUUCACAAAACGAACUUUUCUAUUUUCAGGCAUUGUAUACCAAUCAAAGUAAUCUUCCAUUGACAUAAUCCAAUCAAGAAAAGCUGUUGGAUUUAGUUUUCCAUAAAAUUCAGCAACUUCAAGACGUACCUUUUUUGUCAUAUCAUCAUCUAGCUCAAAAAGUUUGGCCCUUCUUUGAUUCCCCAUCAUAAAAUUGUCUUGUUCUUCGCGUGAUCGAAUUGGUGAUUGUCUAAAUUAAUGACUUGCGAUCUCCUCUUCAAUUGGUCAUUUUUCUUGACUCUUUUCUAAUAAUUUCAUAAUCUCAUCAAGUUUGCUAUUUAGUUGUAUUAUAGCAUCUUGAUGGGAUUGUUGUGUGGCUGAAAUUUCCUCCAAGCAUAUUGUAGCGGCAUCUUGAUUGCUAGAAGUUUUUUUGGAACUCAUGCUUGCAUAAGUUUCUCCACUCCUUAAUUGCAUAUGCCUUCAAGCCAAGAACCUUGGCUCUGAUACCAAAAUUAAUAUAGGACAACCCUAGGAUGGUUGCCUACACUUAAGGGUAGGUGGACUAAGGGUUUUUUUUUAGGGUGUAAGGAGAGGAACAAGGAAUAAAUUUUAUGGUAAAGAAAAUUAUAAGAUAAGAAAUAGAGAGAAAGAAGAAACAAUGAAGAAAAGAUGGAAAACCUUAGAGUCUCAUUAAGGCCUUCUAAGAGUCUCACCUAGAAGAAAAUCAAUGGAGUCUCACCAUUGAGGGUUGUAACCUUGCAAUGAAAGAAAAUAUAAUAUUAUUCAUAUCAAUUCAUUCAUUUGAUUUACAUUGAUUAGCCUAUUUAUAGGCUUCUCUAAGAAAUUCAAAGUCUACUAAGACUCUAAUAACCUAUUAUGAUUCUAAUUCUAAUUAUAACACCCAAAGUCUACUAGGACUCUAAUAACCUAUCAUGACUCAAAUUCUAAUUAUAUUAUAACUCAGUAGUUAAUCCUAAUUAGAUUCCAACAAAUACCAAUCCCAAUUCAAUUUUAAUUAAUAUUAAUUCUACUUAAAGUUUACUUAGGUCUUCACUUUUUUCCUUGAAUAAACUUUAAAAGGCUUUUCCCCAUUAUUGUGUCGUUGACAAUCGAAAAUGUCCAGCUAAUGGUAUACUUAUAGGUUUUGAAUUCUCUAAGGAAAACCUUUUCAAAACUUUUUCUAAGUAGCCCUUUUAUGGCAAAAACAAAGUACGUCCUCUCUGUUUCUUACAAUUUCCACCCUGAGUAUUCUUCUUGCUUUCCCAAGAUCCAUCAUAUCAAAUUAUGACUUUGGAAUCCUCUUCACCUCUUGAAUUUGUGACUUAUCUUUGCAAGCCAAUAAUGUAUCAUCAACAUAUAUUAGAAGAAACAUCAUCAGUCUUUCUUGUAAUUUCUUGUAAUAGAAGCAACCAUCAUAACUGCUCCUUUUGAAAUCAAUCUUUGGUAUAAAGGUAUCAAACCAUUUAUACCACUGUCUUGGGGAUUGUUUCAAUCACCAUAACUGCUCCUUUUCUGGCUCUUUAAAACCUUCAGGCUGAGUCAUUAGAAUUUUUUCUUUGAAGUCUCCAUGCAAAAAGACAGUUUUAACAUCCACUCCAAUUCCCAAUCAAGCUAAGCUACAAUGGACAUCAAUACUCUAAUUGAGGUAUGUUUCAACACUAGAGAGAACACUUCGGUGUAGUCAAUGCCCUCUCUCUUAGUAUACCCUCAAUCCACUAAUCUAGCUUUGAACCUUACUAGUUCAUUCUCAGUGGCACCUUGUUUCCGCUUGAAUAUCCAUUUACAACUUACCACUUUCUGAUUUGGCUUUCUUUCUAUAAGCACACAGGUCUGAUUUUUCUGUAAGGAUUCAAAUUCUUCAGUCAUUUUUGUGAGCCAUUUUAUUGAUUCAUUGCAGUUUAUAGCUUCUUGUUAAGAGAGUGGCUCACUCUCUUCAUACUCCAUAGUAGUCACUAGAGCAUAGGCAGUCAGAUCUGCAAAACCAAAUCUGGGGGUUUUAUGUUCCUCUUAGCCCUAUCCCUUGACAAGAGAUAAUCAGGACCUGCUUCUUGUGAGCUAGUGCCUGCACCACCUUCAACAUUUGAACCUGUCACCUUAGUAUCUUCUGUCUCUAGGCCACCAUGUGCUAAAUCUUUUUGUUAAUCAUGACCAUCCUGAGAUGAUAACUCCACUUCUAUCUCAAAAUGGUCUUUGUCAAGUGUCAAGCUCCUGUUUUUAGAAUCUUUCUCUGUACCUGCAGUGUUAGUCCUCAUGGAAAACAUUUCAUUUUCAUUAAACACAACAUCAUGGCUUAUUAUUAUUUUAACACUCAGAGAUUCCUUAUUCCACAGCCUAUAACCUUUGACACCCUCUGGAUAGCCUAAGAAGAUACAUUUUAUUGACCUUGGUUCUAAUUUUCUUUCCCUUUGGUGAACGUAAGCCGUGCAACUGAAGAUUCUAAGGUGAUCAUAGUUAGAAGGUUUUCCAACAAAGCUCUUUUGGAGUUUUAAAGUCUAUAGCACUAGAUGGAGUUCUAUUUACAAAAUAGCAAGCUGUCAUUAUAGCUUCACCCCAAAAAUGUUUAGAUAAACCAGAACUGUACAACAUACACGUCACUCUAUCUAACAAUGUUCUAUUCAUCCUCUCUGCUAGGUCAUUUUGUUGAGGUGUAUUUCUUACUGUUUUGCAUCUUAAGAUAACCUGAUAUUUACAAAACAUUUCAAAUUCCUCAUUACAAUACCCAAGUCCAUUAUCUAUCCUUAACACCUUUACUCUUUUAUUAGUUUGAUUUUCAAUCAAAGCCUUCCACUCCUCAAUCUUAGCUAAGGCAGUAUGUUCAUCUUUAAUUUUUAACAAGUAUAGCCAAACUUUUCUAAUCAUCAAUCAAGGAUAGAAAGUACCUGUUUCCACGGUGAGUAGAGACUUUUGCAGGCCCCCAUAAAUCUGAAUGCAUAUAUUCUAGUAUAUCCUUUGACUUGUGUGUUGCAGCUUUGAAUGUCAACCUAUGUUGUUUGCCAAAAAUACAGUACUGACAAAAAUCAAUCUUACUGAUGCUAUCCCCACACAACAGGCCCUGCUUGUGCAGUUCUUUUAGACCUCGAUCACUUAAGUGACCAAGUCUUCUAUUCCAAAGAACUGUUUUAUCAUUUCAAUUCUUAACACUGAUCCCAACAAACCUUUUGACGUGUGAUCUUCUAGGAUAUAUAAGCCAUUCCUCUUCAGAUCCUUCAUGACAACCAUAACACCUUUUGAAAUUGUUAAUUUCCCAUUUUCUGCUUUGAAGUUACAACCUGAUUCGUCCAAACUUCCAAGAGAUAUUAGAUUUCUCUUCAGGUCUGGUACAUGCCUGACCUCUUUGAGAGUUCUUGUCAUUCCAUCAAACAUGUUAAUAGCCACAGUACCAAUGCCAACCAUGCUGCAGUUCAUGUUGCUUCCCAGUAUCACCUUUCCACCAUUAACUUCUUGAUAGGAUGAAAACCAAUCUCUUCUUGGACACAUAUGAUAGGUGCAACCUGAGUCCAAGAUCCAUUCUUCAUGAUUUUGGUUCAAUGUAACAGUGAGUACCUCUACACUGUCAUAGCCAUCAUCUACAAUGGUAGCACUUCCUUGUACUUGAGUCUUUUCUUCUUCUUGUCGAUCUGGACAGAUUCUUCUCCCAUCUUGUUGCAAUGAUAACACUUGACAAUCCUAUAAUCUUUCUUACCUUUGGACUUUGAUCCUGAACAAGAUUUUCCUCUGUUUCCAUUGUUAUUUUUGUUCUGAGGUCUUCCUCUAACAGUUAAACUUUCACCACUGUUGGUUUUGUCAGAGGACUUCAUAUCCAACACCUUAGCAUUCAAGGCAUUCUGAACAUCAUCAAAUGUAAUGGCAUCUCUGCCAUAUUUCAGGGUUUCUUUAACAUGCUUCAAAGAUUUAGGUAGAGAGUUUAAGAGAAUGAUUGCCUUAUCUUCAUCCUCCAUCUUAAUGUCCAAACUCUCUAAAUCCAACACCAAUUUAUUAAACUCAUGUAAGGCAUACUGAAGUAUUAAUGACUGAAUAUUGUUUCACUGUUGCAGAAUAAUGCUAAUGUAGCUGAAUUGCUGAAUAAAGUCUUAACACAAACUUAUGAGUUGGCUGAAGAAUGUGUAAAGACAAACUACUAAAGCACCAAAGCAGUGACUGAGGCCCUUGUUCCAUGACUCCUGCUAUCAAAUUCCGGCAGAAUUGUGAAUGUGUCUGCAGGUCUUGGAAAGCUUGAGGUAUGUAAAUGCAAUUGCAACUUCAAGGGAAAAUUCUAAAACCAAAUUCAAAGUUUAUAAUGCAUUAGUGAUAUCUAGUAUUUCCAUUAAUCAUGAGACUAUUCUUGAGUUCUUCCUUAUUUUAUCAGUUUGUCUCCAAUGAAAAGGUUAGAAUGGAGCUAAAUGAUGUUGAUGUACUCUCGGUAGAGAGAUUGGAUGGGAUAGUAAUGAAUUCCUCAACGAUGUUAAGGACAUGUUACAUGACAAAGGCUGGCCAACUCAGACAUCUGCAUAUAUAAUCUCCAAAGCAGCCAUGAAUGCGUACACAAGGAUUGUUGUCAAAUCAUACCCAAGUCUCCUCAUAAAUUGAUAUUUGUCCUGGUUUUGUCAAAACUGAUAUGACUUCCAACACUGGUCUCUUUACUGUUGAAGUGGGUGCCAAAGGCCCUGUUAUGUUGGCUUUGCUUCCAAAGGCAGGACCUUCUGGCCUCUUUUUUGAAAAGAUGGAGGCAUCAACCUUUUGAUCAUAAGUCAGUUACAGGAAUGAGUUGGUUUUCUGCUUUAUGUAUUUCCUAUGGUUGUAUUUGUAAGGUUAUCCAACUUUUCCUAUUGCUUUGCUGAGACAAUGGUGUGAUAGAUGUGAAGGUUCUCUUGUAUUCAGUGUUAUAAUUAUGAACUUUAUAGCUCUGUUUGUGAUAAUUGAUAAUCCUUUUAAAAGUAGGAACUAGGAAACCAGUCUUAUUUCUUACUUUAGAAUGUUAUGUAUUAUUCAUCUCAUUAUAUGCAAAUUAAUUCUUAUUUAAUAAAGAAAUUCAUCGGGAUAGGACAUGGGAUUGGAAGCUCAAUCUGAACUGGCAUUCAGGUAUUUCAUCUAAUUUCUUCAAUGGUUAUCCGCUCUUGUUAGAAAUCGUUCAGUUCUCCACAUUUCUAUCACGCACAACUUGUUUCUCUCUUCUGGCUUGAGGAGGUAGAGGACAAAGUAGCUGAAUCAUUACCAAAAGCUCAUGAUGCCAACAAACUUUGCAAACCCAACAGAAGACGUCCUGCGAGAGGUCAAUGUAGUCACAAGAAUCUACAAUACCUCAAUAGAAUAUUUAUACAAACAUAUGGCAUUUUCGGCAUUUUUGCAGCAAUGGGAUAUUCUACUGCAUGCCAACAGGUUGAAGAAAAAGAGACAGUUGAAACUAAAAGGAUGGUUUACCCAUGUACUAUUAUAGCAAUUGACAUGGACUCAGAAAUCCUUUUGACAUGCCAUAAUUCAAUAUUUUCAUUCCUAAAGAAGCAUUUUUUUCUUAUUUGCCAUCUCUUACCAUAAUAAAUGAAUGUCGACCUAUCCUUAAAAGCCAAAAUGUGAUAUCUGCAUUGUUAGUCCUCAAACAUAUUCUGACACCUCAUGCUCUUGUCAACUUCUUGCACCUAUUCAACUAAUGCUAAAAGUGAAAAACAUGUCUUCCAUUCCCUUUGCUCAGGCGUUGUUUGAGGAGGCAAUCUUGUAGGUUCAAAUCACAGCAGAGGGAACCUAACGGGGACUUGUUUGAGAUAGAAGAUGCUAAAUUUCCAGUUGAUUGGCAUGAAGGUGGACUGGCUCCAUCUAAUUCACCGAUCAAAAAAGAAGAGGGAGAUGAAAGUUGGGUUGAAAAACAUGAAGUUCGAGGAUCACAGAGAUCAUCAGUGGGAAGACCUUUGCUCAGAGCUGCUGAGAAGGUCCAAUCCUAUAAGGAGGCUCCACUUAAUACCCAAAUGAGGAGAUUUGAGUGAAUAGAUUCUAAUUUGUACCAAGUUAUAACCUUUCAUAUAGUGAGGAGUUGAGCAAGAGCCAGUCAAGUCCUGAGGAAUACUAAAGUUUUAAUGACCAUGGAGUAUCUUGUUUGAUGAGUAAAUUUUAACAGAUGAUAAUGCCUACUUAUGAGAGAUGUAGAUUUCACAACAUUGACUUGCAUGGUUGGGAAAUUAUUCAGUUUUUACUUUUUAGGUAUUUUAUCCUUACAAGUCAGGUCGGAUCAGGUCAGGUCAGAUGUUUGAGGUUACAUUAUAUGGCCCAGAACCCGUAUUCCGGAAACUUGCAGAUGCGGAAAUAGGGCUAGUCAGCAGAAGAACUCGAACAAAUUUUACUACAAACAAAGGGGUCUGGUUUACUAGGGCCGUCAAUUACAGACUCCCGCUAUGGCUAUAAAUGAUAUCAGAUUAUUUUCAUUUUUCUAUUAGGAAAUAAAUCCUAAUUAUUUUGUAUUUUUGGUUUUUUGGUCAAGAAAUGUCGUGGGAGAUGGUGAAACUUAGAUGAUGUUUGUUUUUUUACUUAAUUCUAAAUAGAACUUUAAUGUUUAAUAAUGUUAUGCGUUAGAUUGUUUUUAUAAUAUGUUAUUUCUAUUAAAUAUUAAAAAAUAAGAAAAAAGAAAACCAACAUGUUACUUUUCCAUUUAGAAAAAGCCAAAAUAUUUUAUUUUUUCUAUUCAACAAAAAGUUUAUAAUAAUUUAUGAAAAUGUAGAAAAACAAAUAACUUAAAGUCUGAAAACAAAUUACUUUUGGUAAAAAGUUAAAAAAACAAACACCCUCUUAGGUGAUGUUUAUUUUUUUUACUUAAUUUUAAAUAGAACCUUAAUGUUUAAUAAUGUUAAAUAUUAGGUUGUUUGUUUUUAUAGUAUUUUAUUUCUAUUAAGUAUUAAAAAGUAAAUAAAAACUAAUAUGUUAUUUUUUUUAUUUAGAAAAAACUAUAUAUUUUGACUUUUUAUUUUUAAUAAAAAGUUUAUAAUAAAUUAUGAAAAGAUAGAAAAACAAACAACUUAAAAUCUGAAAACAAAUUACUUUCAGCAAAAAGCCAAAAAAACAAACACCAUCUUAGUUUUUUUUUUUAUAAUUUUAAGCAUUUGACUUGAAUUAUUAUGCUAAAAAAUCUUUAAUAAGAGAAAAACUUGUGAAAACCUAAAUGGAAUAUCCAAAUUGCAUGGUGAAAAUCCUAUAAAAACCAAGAUUUUGUGCAUACCUAUAUAAAGAUGACCAUGUCCAAAGAAGUCCAUAAAAAAUGACGUUAGAGUUGGCAUUGAUCUUGUCAACAUAUGUAACUUUAAUAUAUCUUAUAUUAAGCUUAUAUAGCAAUCAUCAUCAAGUGAAAUUAAUUAGAAAUGAUAUAAAAUUGAUGAACAAAUAACUAUUCAAAGGUGAAUUGAAUAUUGUAUUGGUUGAUUUUGGAGAAGGGUGAGAAUCACCAUGUGCUGGAGAUCACCAUUUACAAGGUGUGCAUGAGAAUCGCUAUGUGCUGGAGAUCGCCAUUUACAAGGUGUGCCUUACAAAGAACCUGGAGAAAUGUUCAGCUGAGCCUGACUUUCCUCAUCUGAUUCAAAAGAAGAUAGCUUCGACCAUCUCAGAUUCAGCAACAAUGAGGUAUAUAGGCUUUUUUUUAGCUACAACUUGUAAACCACAACUAAUAGCUGUUGAGAAUAAUGCAUCUACAUAUUCUUAAUUACUAUUUAUUUUUUAUUUUCAGAUGUGCAGUUGUAACUGGAGCAAAUAAAGGAAUUGGACUAGAGAUAUGCAGACAGUUAGCUUCUAAUGGAGUCAUGGUGGUAUUAACAGCUAGAGAUGAGAAGAGGGGUCUUGAAGCUGUGGCAAAGCUUCAUGAAUCUAGCCUGUCUAAUGUAGUUUUUCAUCGGCUUGAUGUGAUGGAUGCCAAGAGUAUCACUACCUUGGCAAAAUUCAUUGUAACCCAUUAUGGGAAGCUUGAUAUUUUAGUAAGGAAUCAACCCUUUUCGGAAGAACAUUUUUUCACUCAUUUUCCUUCUGCUAUGGAAAAAAAAUUCUUAGGGAUUUAGGAGUUUGAGAUUAGUAUGACACCCAACUUAGAGGGCUCUGAAAAUUUUAUACCUCAAUCAGGAAGCAAAGCAAAAACAUUUUAAUCAUGUAGAGAAACAUUUCUUGUUGCCUUACUUCAUUUUACUAUGAUAAUAACAAUAAAAGCAAAUUUAAGAAUUCAAGAAAAUGAAAAUCAGGUAAGCUGCCAUUCAUUUGGUAUUAUUAGUGAAAUCAAAAUUUUAUGCAGGUGAAUAAUGCAGGGGUUAAUGGAGCCAUUGUCGACUCGGAAGCACUUAAGACCUUAAACCUUGGGGACAGUAAGGUAUGUAAUUACAUGCUCUUGAAAAAUCAUAACUAGGAAGUCUAAGCUCAUUUUCAAUGUCUAUCAACCAUAUAUUGAGAUGAAUAAUUUUGUUUCAUUUCUAAAUUUAAGGAGGACAGAGUCAGAUAGAAUCAAUGACUCAAUACUGUUUCACUGUUGCAGAAUAAUGCUAAUAUAGCUGAAUUGGUGAAUAAAGUCUUAACGCAAACUUAUGAGUUGGCUGAAGAAUGUGUAAAAACAAACUACCAUGGUACCAGAGCAGUGACUGAGGCCCUUCUUCCAUGCCUUCUGCUAUCAAAUUCAGGAAGAAUUGUGAAUGUGUCUGCAGGUCUUGGAAAGCUUGAGGUAUGUAAAUGUAAUUUCACCUUCAAGGGGAAAUUGUAAAACCAAAUUCAACGUUUAUAAUGCAUUAGUCAUGUCUAGCAUUUCCAUUACUCUUUUAAGAUUAAUGUUGAGUUCUUCCUUCUUUUAUCAGUUUGUCUCCAAUGAGAGGGUUAGAAUGGAGCUAAAUGAUGUUGAUGUACUCUCAGUAGAGAGAUUAGAUGGGAUAGUGAAUGAAUUCCUCAAUGAUGUUAAGGAGGAUAUGUUACAUGACAGAGGCUGGCCAACUCAGACAUCUGCAUAUACAAUCUCCAAAGCAGCCGUGAAUGCCCACACAAGGAUUGUUGCCAAAUCAAACCCAAGUCUCCUCAUAAAUUGUGUUUGUCCUGGUUCCGUCAAAACCGAUAUGACUUGCAACACUGGCCUCGUUACUGUUGACGUGGGUGCCAAAGGCCCUGUUAUGUUGGCUUUGCUUCCAGAGGGAGGACCUUCUGGCCUCUUUUUCCAAAAGAUGGAGGCAUCAAUCUUUUGAUCACAAGUCAGUCUUUCCUAUUCUUUGCUGAGACAAUGGGGUGAUAGAUGUGAAGUGUCUCUUAUCUUCGAUGUUAUUAAUUAUGAACUUUAGCUGUGUGUGACAAUUGAUAAUCCUUUUAAAAGUAAGAAAUAGGAAACCGGUCUCAUUUCUUACUUUGGAAUGUUCAUGUAUUAUUCAUCUCAUUAUAUGCAAAUGAAUUCUUUUUUAAUAAAGAAAUUCCACGGGAUAGGGCAUGGGAUUGGAAGCUCAAUCUGAACACUCAUUCAGGCUUCCACAUCUGGUCAAGGGUGGGGCAUUGAUAUCAUUUACAACGACCUGCUUCUUAUCAAAUAGAAAUUCUCCACUUACACUCUAAGCCGCAUCCUCACACGCAUAUAUGUCAACAUGCCAAAAGCAUGGCCAACUCAUAUACCUGCAUAUUAUUCUCCAAAGCAGCUGUCAAUGCACACAAGGAUCAUUGCUAAAUUGUUUUUGUCAUGGUUUCGUCACAACUGAUGUGACUUCCAAUAAUGGAAUAUUUUCUUUUGAAACAGUCAGGAAAAAAACAACAGUGAUAUUCCCAUUUCUCAUUAAUGGAAGAAGCUUUCUUGGUGGUUUUUUCCUUCUCUCGGAGGGUUUUUUUUCCAAAUGCAGGAAGGAAGAAUGGUGAAUGUGCUUGCAAGUUUUGGGAAGCUGCAUGCAUGUCCUGAUUUCAUCAGAACUGAUUAUGACUGACUAUUCCCACGCCCAAUCCAACAAACAAAUGGGCCCAAGUUGUAAAGCCCCAACCCCACUUAAAGAUCAGCUUUAACUUGGACCAAGCGAAGCCCAAUCCGGAAAAUAAGUUAACUUGGGUUGCAGCUAGAGCUCUGCCCAUAGUCAUGGAGCAAAGAAUAUAAAAAUGCCAUUAGAAGUCAAGAAUUUUGUGCGACAAAGAUAGAAAGGUAGAGAAAGAGUUGAAUGGGCCAACAACCCCAGCUCAAUUCCUCAAAGGAUGUGGACACACAAGUAUUUACACAGUUUUCCUACAACUAGCUGGAUUGCAUUCCACCCUAACCGUGUGGGCCACUCUUCUCCACCAAAAGCAUGAAGCCCAAUCAUAACUCUGAAUGGAUGUCUAUAUUCUUUUCUUGUAUUUAAAUAUAUGUAUUUCGCCAUGUUUCAAGCUAUAAAGUAAAAUGAUUUGAAAGAGAUCAAACCUUCCUACCUAUAAUCUCCACAUCCUAAUUCUUCCCGCCUUCUUCAUCUUCUUCAAUUCCCACCACUUUUGACAAAUUAAAAUGAUUUUUAAAACAUUAUAUUUUGUAAAGUAACAGCAUUUAGUCAUUGACACUUUUCUUCCUAAGUCAUUUUCAAGUUAUUAAAUAAAAUACUCUCAACAUUUUUAAAAAAUAAAAAUAAAAAUAAAAACAUUGCAAAAAGAUAAAUAAGAUAUCAUGAAACAAUCAUUUUAUAUCUGACCAAAUAUUCCAAAAAACCCACCAUCCAUGCAACCACCAAAUCCCCAUAUAUCGUGUCGAGGUCCACCGAUACACGAUAUUUUAAUCAUUGGUAAGCACUACAAUGGCAAUCUCAUCACCCCUCUAUAAACCCUUCAAAAAGUACAAACAAGGUACGCGCACAUUCAAACGCUCACUCUCUCCCACAAAGCAGUUUAAGCUAUUUUUGCCUAACUUGAGCUUCGGAGGGGCAUGUCCGGGCCACCCGUCCGGACAUCCUUUAUGUGCAGGAAUUGAAUCCAUCCAGUUUCAUUAGUGCUACACGGAUUCUUUGAGAAGCACAAAGAGGGGGGGAAGGUCGUCUGACUUCAAUCAAUUUAGACGGGGGGAAGGUCGUCUGACUUCAAUCAAUUUAGACGGGGGGAAGGUCGUCUGACUUCAAUCAAUUUAGAUGGACCUAACUCUGGUUGGCUUAGCCUCAACAGCUAUGACCUGGAACACACCCCUAAUAAAUCUGAUUAAAUAUAAGAAAUUCUCUAUUUUUCUUCCCAAACUUUCGUUAAUGGCAAACUAUUUUAAUAUCAAAGCCGCAUAAGAUGAUGAUAAUAUAAAGAAUAAUAAUUUGGUUGGGGUGGGAAUGCAGUUUUUUUUUUUUUUCAAUCAAACUACUUUUUAUUGAGUUUAUUGUUUCUUCUGGGCUGCGAGUUGGGUUCGUUUGAAGUCGGUAUAUUCCCUAUUGAAGUGGUUUUAGGGUUUUUCUUUUUUCUGGGUUUGGAAUCAGGUUUGUGCAAGAUUGACUGUGUUUGUUCCAGGUUUGUAGUUUUAAGGUUCAAUUGGCAUAUCCAUAUUUGUUAACAUUCUUCUGCUGUGAAGGUAUCUAAGAGAAGUACCCAACGUAUAUGAUAAGCUUGAUGCACUUGGGCACUCUUGACACCAAUGUUGAAGGAAUUGAAAGAGAAAAAGGUCAUGUCAGAGCUCCAUCUCUGUUAGUAGAAGACCAGGAAGAGUUCAUUAUCUUGCGACCAAGCACAAUGUUAAUUGUGGAGACCUCAACUAUGAUGACCUGUGACUAUAUUCAAGUUCACCAAUUUGCUAGAAUAGUGUAUUGUGUUAAUCAAUGAAGUUGGAUGUUUAGUUGUUCUACAGUACUGGUAAGUUAGGUGUUACUCUAAAUAAUUGUACAGAAUAAUGCAAAUAGAAAAUGAAAAACUACUAAGGUUAUAAAUAAUUGGUAGUUAAUUGUAAAUCAAUUCUGGAUUCACCUUUGGCAUUCCCAAAUGGUCAUAUGGAAUCCAAGUAUCACCAAAAAGUCUUUUAGUUUUGAACUUUCUCCUUAUGAUUGAAACUCAUUUAUAUUUGAGGAUUGACUAUCUGUAUGGUAGGAGAUAAAUAAUAGGAUGACUAGUUGUCAACUUUGAAAAAGGCAGUAGAGUAAAGCAAUUAAGUAAAUUCAAUCGACUUUUAAAUCAGUUUUCAUUACUCAAUGAUAGAAGAAUCGAGCUUAUGAGUUCGAUACACCAAUUUUAUAUUUUCUUCCAUAUACUAAGGCCAAGCCUGGUAUGUUCCUAACCCUACAACUUAGACUUUUAUAUUAUCUUUAUUUUUCACACAACAAGGUGGCUGGUUAGUUUGUAUUGGUUUAUUUGAUGUUGAUGUCUAUUUUGUUUCUUUCUUUCUUUGGGCAGUUAACCUUAGCUACAGCCACUCAACUUCCCAAAAAUAACACAUUCCAUAGAACUUCAACAAUGUCAUUUGACUAGUAUCAAUGUUUUUCUUUCCCUUAAUCACCUCUCCCAACUCUUUUUCCCUUGGCACAAUUCUUAGAUGGGAGAGAGUGUUGAUAGGUGUGGAUGUUUUGUUUAUUGAUGAAUCUCUAGUAUUAGAUAAUCUUUCUAGUAAAGAAAAAUUAUUUGCAUUUACGGUUUCAAUUUUAUUUUCUAUGGGUUUUAUAAGAUUACAGUUUAGAUUUAUCAUUUAAAUUUUAAAGUUAAUGAUAAGUUGCUUAAUAGUAUUGGUGGAACAAAAUGAUUUCUUAUAGAAUCAUUGUUCAAAACUUUUCUUUUCUUACAAUUGAUGGUUUUUUGCCCUUCUUUCAAGCAAACAAAUGAAGGCAUAGUUAACACGAUUAUGGACAAUGUUUCAAUAGGAGGUAUAUGGAACUUAUGAUAUUGUACAAGAGUGUUGGACUAAUUAUACAAGGACAAUGCACUAACUAUACAAAGGGUGUACAAAAGAUUUGAAAAGAUUUUGAACCAUUCCCUAACUUGUUUCCCUCACCCAAGGAUUACACAAUUUCCUUACCCUCAUUCCUUUGUGAGAUACUCCUCUUGUGAAUCUUUGUACACUUGAACAUGGUAUUUGGACUACCUACCAUAGUAAAGAUGAUUGGGGAGUGCGUUUAGAUUCACCAUAACAAACCAUUGAAAACAUGGUUCGCACCUUUUGUUCCUAAGUCUUCUAUUCUUUUCUGAAUCAUAUCAUUGGAAACAUGGUACACACACCUAUAUGAAUACAUAAUUUAUGCAUGUGUAUGAGAUUUGCACCACUAUACAAAAGUAUUACACUAAAUGUAUGAUUCGUCCCUAGCAGCGGCAGUGGCAAUGGCACCAUCUGAUUCGGGGUUCGAUCCCCGGCAACGGCGCCAUUUGAUUCGUGCCCAAUUGGUGUCUCAGCUGAUUCGUGUCCAGCUGGUGCUCCUUGAUUGAGGGAGUAAUCAACAAAAUUUAUAACCUAUUACACCAUAUACUAGGAUAGCAAAGACAAAGCUACUAUAGCAUAGUGGCUCUAGGAUCGUUCACUGGGAUGGGUUUUCACUUCACAAAUGAUAUUAAUUCAAAGUUGAAUUGGUGCCUUUUCAUUUCAAGGUUAGCUUUAAAAGAAAAUAUAAAGAUGUUUGAAUGAAAAACGUUUGGCUUUAAGCUAACUAAAAAUAGUAACUGAUUUUAACUACAAAGAAAAGUGUUUCUUGGAGUUUAGAUCACUAGGCUCAAAUUCCUCAUACAAAAAGGGAGUUCCGGUCACUUGUUUAUUUUCCUCGCAUUAGAGAAUUAACAUAUAGUUCCUUCUCCAACCGGUGUUGUACAGAUGCUUCCCAUUAAUGGGUUCAAACACUAAAUCCCUCUCACUGAUGCACUUUGCAAUGGCUCAUACCUCUCACCUAGCACUUGCCAUUCAAGGUGAUCUUUAACCUUGGAUUACCCGUCAAAAGCUCGCAAGAGAUAACUAAUGGAUGUCUCCUUGGAGUCCAAAAGCUUACCAAGUGUUGGCUAUUCUAGAAAAUCCUACCUUCAAGUCACCUCCCAAAGGCUCGCAAGAGAUAAACUAGUGAAUCUCCAUGGAUGGAAAUCACUUGCCUUACCAAGUGUUGGCCCAGGUGACUCUAAGGUGUUUUAAGUUAACUAAAAACAUAGAAAUCACUAACGGGUCACACUUUCUCUUCAUUAAAAACUAAAACAACAAAACUUCCAAAUUAUGUAUGUGGAAACUUACCCGGCUUUCCUUACUCCAAGAGACAAAAAGCUUAGCCUCUCAUCCUCUGAGGAAAAAUCCUCAAAGUUUGGUUGGCUAGAAAAUGAAAAUGAAAGAGAAGACAAGAAUAUAUAUGAAAAACAGAGCAAGUGCUCUGUUCUCUGAUUCUAUAUAUGAUAUAUCUAUAUUACAUACUUCUCCGAGCGUCUCCUGAGAGUGUUUACAAGAGAGUUUAUAUAGGAAGGUAAUUUACCCUUCCUUGGAUAUUUCCUAGCUAAGGAAUUACAUGAGUGGUUGAAUACAAGGAGAAAAUGGAAAUUUAGACACAAAAAUCUGAAGAAAAAUAUCUAAAAGAGUCGGUGCAAAAAUAUCGGGAAGCUUCAGGAACCAUUUCGCAGGAGAAAAUGGUGUCUGCGAGAUUUCGCAGACACUCAAGAGGGCUGCGAAAUAUUUUCGCAACAACAAGUUAAACUCGCAGGGCUGCGAAAUUGUCUUCCACCUUGAGGUUCUCAGCGUUCCAGCUUGCGGCAUGUAUCGGGUAGCUUCAGGAGGAAUUCCAUAGCACUGUACAAAAAGGCUGCGAAAUUCUCGCAACAAAAGGCUGAUUUCGCAACACUUUGGAGUGAUCUGCUUGCAAUGGCUGUAACUCCUUCGUUUCAACUCCGAAUCGUGCACCGUUUGAAGCAUUGGAUUCUUGACUUCCUGAGCUUUGAAAUGGUAUAUAGAAUGUAGAAAAUGGACUUCGGGAAGUACUCCAAAAGUGCGCAUGAAGACUGCAGCUGCUUGUCCUCUGUUUUCUUCACUCUGUUUUUCCUUUCUCCUUGCUUCUCUCCUUGCAUACUUUGAACGACUUUGGCAAAGGGAUAUGGAGCUCCAAAGCUUGGUUUCUUCAUGAAUUUGAGCUUCCAAAAGCUUUGCCAUGAAUUCCAAAUAGCUCAUCCAUCAUUUGGCAUGCUUGAAUUGAUUCAUAAGCUGAUAAAAACAUGUAAACUUGCCACAAAAUAGUUAAAACCAAUUACUAAGGACCUUAAUGAAUUAAUUGGGUUAAAUGAAUAUGAUUACUACUCAAAGGUGCUUAAAACCAUUAUAAUUAGGUCUACAAAAUAGCACUUUUUGGUAGUAAUCAAUGUACAAGGUCAAUGUACUAAUUGUACAAAGAACGUACAAUGUUGUCCUUUUUGUAGUAUUUUAAUCAAUUUAUGAAUGAUGUUUUUUUUUUCUUGUAACCUGAGAACUACACACUCUCAUGCCACACACUCCUACAUCACACACUCAUCUCAUGCACUUUAUUACACUUGCACAUUGAUAUUUGAACACUUACCCCACCAAUGAUCAUUGGGGAACAAAAUUUGGAUUCAACUUUUCCUCAUUUUUUUGAACCAAAACAUUGAAAACAUGGUUAACCCACUUACAGACACACAUUCACUAGUAGUUGUAUGGAAUUUGCUCUAGUGUAUAAGGUAUUUAUACUAAGUAUAUAAGACAAUUGUACUAAUUGUACAAGGGGUAUACAAUAUUACAUUUCUUGAAGCAUUUAAAGGAAUUCUGAAAAACUUACUCGUUUAUUUCCCUUUGCCAAGAAUGAGGGACAUUCGUCACACACAUUGCUUGAUCAUAUACUCAUCUCAUGCAAUUUAUUGACCUCGUACAUGUUCAUUCAAUUACCUACCCUACUAAUAAUAAUUGGAGAAUAAAUUUGGAAUAAAUUUAUCCUUUUUUCUAAACCAAUUAAAUGGAAACAUGGUUAACCUACCCAAAUGCACACAUUCACUUCUACGUUUAUGGAAUUUGUGCUAUUGUAUGAAGUAUUUACCACAAAGGGUAUAAAAUACUACAUUUCUUAAAGCAUUUCAAGGGAUUAUGAAAAACUCACUCAACUCAUAUUUUUAAAUUUUAGCAUCCAAAAUUUCUAAUUACAUAUUUUCUUUUUGUAGUUUUAGCAAUAUUCUUUCUUUGCACAUUUUCAUCUCUUAUGAAAGAGGAUUAACCAUGCUAUUUAAAUCUUCCACAAUUUUUUUUUUGUGAGAAAUCCAUAGCAUACUAGUACCAUUGCUUGGAAGAAACAUAAUACAGCUUUUGAAUGACAAUAUUUAGCUUUUAAUUUUAAUGAAAAAUAAGAGCACAUGCAAAACAUAACAUACUCGUACCAGACUCAAACAUAACUAAAACAAUUUCUAAAUAACAAACAUGAUUGUGAAUGUUACAACACAUCCAAAUAGAAAAUGAGCAAGAAAAUUUGUUUUGUGAUAAGUUGUUUAACCUCUUGUAUGAUUUGUAAAUGUUACCCUUGUAAUCUAUAACUUAAGUUUGGCAUUCAAGCUAAGAUGUGUACACACCUAGUCUCGUCCCAACAAAAACAACAUAGAACUUGUCUUCAUUUCCUAUCUCCGAUUUCUUGUAAGCACACCUACAACUAUAUUGUUAAUAGUGAUGAAAACAAAGCAACAUCUAUCUAUGAGUCUUUCUUCCAUGUUUGUUAAAAAUAUUGGCACACAAAUUUAAAUGAAAACAUCAAAUAUUGACUUAUUCGCAUAAAAAUACUUGAAUAAGAUGCUUGAUCGACAUUACAAAUCAAGGUUGCUUAGACGAUGCAUGGAACCGACCAAUGGUGUUGAAGGUUAUAUUAUUUAUAGACUUUGAAGAUUGGUCGGAGGACCUAUUUGCAAGAUUGGCAUGAGGGCCUACUUGCAAUACAAUAUAUAUAUAUAUAUAUAUAUAUAUAUAUAUAUAUAUAUAUAUAUACACAACAACUAUAUAUAGGUUUGAAUUAAGAUAUGCAUGGUUGGUAAAAAAUGUAAUUAUGAAUUCAUAUUUGAAAUGAAUAGUAUUACUGCAAUGAACCAUCAAUCACUCUUAGUCAAUUGUAAAAUAUAGUUUUUAUUUUUUUUCAUACCAAAAUCUAUUUUACCUAAUCUAUGUCAUUGUAUUAUGCUAUCCUAUAAGGUUUUCAAAAUGAAUAUAUUCGAUUUCCUAACACAUGCAAUAUGUGAAUCUUAUCAAUGUUGGUGGUAAAUUUAAAAAAAUGUCACAUCUACAUACAACACUAUGCAUAUCUUGUUUGCAAUUUGAGGAGAAAAACAAAGUUUAUCAUAAUUUCAAAGCCAUUUGGUUAAUUAGUUACCACAUUUAUCCCAAAAUUUGAAGUACAAUAUUAAAUAGGAAACCCAAGGGUAAAUUUUCUAAGAUCAUUCAAAUGCAUUUUAAAUUAAAGAACUCAUUUCAUACCGUCUUGGGUGAACAUGUUACUACUCCUCAUCAAAUAUUUCAAAGUCUGAUUUGUCUUACGACAAAAAGAGAAUUUCUUCUUCAUCUUCUGCACUUAGUUCUUAACCAUUUACAACUUCGUUGUUGUGUACUUCUUGUAGCAUUAUAACCCUAGUUUUUCGAAUAGUCAUGUUAUUUUCCUCCCUAAUCUUGUUUCGUGUUUCGAUAAAACUAAUGUGAUUGUAACUACAAACAAACAACGAUUUUCUAUGGGGUACCCAUACACCUAAUGGUCAUAGUUCUUGGACAAGAUUCUUUGACUCCUCAACCCGAUGUCUCCACUCACUUUCCAUUGUACACAUGGUCACAUCAGAAAAUUCAUCCGAUAGUUUUAGAGAGUACAUGAAAUUAUCAUAUCCUAUUUCCCAGUGUUAAGAAAUAGUUUCAUAUAGUUACAAGUUAUACACGUGUCAUAUGCUCAUUGUUUUCUUCUAUUAUUGUUAAAUGAAUUGUUAGAUAAUUUGUUAGUUAGGUCUACUAUAUAUAUUACUCUAUAAAUAAUAGAUUAAAGAAAGAGAGAAAAAUAAAACAGAAAAUCACUUUACUUUCUUAGUUUUUGUUACCUCCCUUUCUUAUCUUUGUUACUUUCUUUACAUGGUAUCAGAACGUUCAUCCAUGGUCAAUUCCCUCACCUCCACUUCUUCAUUCUCAUCCUAAUUUGUUAUGAUUUCCUUUAAUCACUCAAUUUCCAUAAAACCUGAUCAGAAUAAUUUUCUGAUUUGGCGUCAACAAGUUGAAGUUGCAAUCAAGGGUUACAAGUUCUCAAAGUUCAUCAAUGGAAUCGAUACUGCACUUCCAAAAUUUCUUUCUUCCACAAAUGAAACAAGUGGUAAAAUCAAUCCAGAUUUCUUUGAUUGGGAACAACAUGACCAAUUACUAGUCUCUUGGCUCCUUUCAUCAAUGCCCGAAGGGCUUUUAACGAGAAUGGUUGGAUAUGUAACUUCUUUUCAUAUUUGGGAGAAAUUGGAGGUUUUAUUUAUUCUCAAACUUGUGCCAAGAUUGAUCAGUUCAAGACGCAACUCAAGAGCUCUCAGAAAGAUUCAUCAUCCAUGAAUGAUUAUCUCUUGUGAAUCAAAAGCAUUGUAGAUAGCCUAUUAUUGGUUGGCUAUUCUAUCUCUAUUUUAGAUCUUAUUGACGCAAUUUUUGAAGGAUUAUCCUCAAAGUAUGACACUUUGAUUAUUGUUGUUACCACACACACAGAUUCAUAUACUGUUGAUGAAAUAGAGUCUGUUUUUUUGGCUCAAGAAAGUCGCAUUGAGAAGGCUACAAAAGCUUUAGAUUCUAAUUUGAGUGCUAACUUAGAAACUCAAAGCCAGAAUAACAAAGACAAAAAAAAAAUGUUUGAUAAUUCUUCCAAAAAUGGCUUUUCUACUUUUGUUCAAGACAAUUUUCGUGGUCUCAAUAAUUUUCCUAGUAGAGAAGGUUCUAGUAGUCGUGGAUUCAAUAAAUUUAGAGGUUCUGGUAGUAAAGGUUGUGAAGGCUUCAAUGUUGGUCGGAAUUAUUGGAAUUUCAAUAAACCUCAAUGCUAAUUAUGUGGUCAUGGUGGUCAUUUGGUGCAACAAUGUUACUACAAAUUCGAUCUAUCAUUCUAAGGCUCAUCUUCAUUUCAAAAUGGAUUUUCUUUUGCUCAAGAUUCAUCACGAAUGACUACCAUGGUUGGUACUACUCCUGAAUUUGCCUAUGACUCUAACCGAUACCCAGAUUUUGGAGCUACAAAUCAUAUCACACCAGACAUUCAUAAUCUGAUGAAUAAAACUAAAUUUGUUGGGCAAGAUAAGAUCAUGAUGGGUAAUGGAACAGGUUUGAGCAUUAAACAUAUUGGACAAUCAUCUUUUCAGUCUCAAUUUACUUCGAAAUUGCUCUCUUUGAAUCAUCUUCUUCAUGUUCCUUCUAUUACCAAAAAUUUGCUGAGUGUCUCUAGAUUUGCCAAAGAUAACUCUAUGUAUUUUGAAUUCUUUCCUAACUUCUGUUAUGUCAAAGAUCGGGCUUCCAAGGAAAUUCUCAUGGUAGGGAGAGUUAAGAAUGGAUUUUAUGUAUUUGAUGAUUUUGCACUUCUGUCUUCAGCAAAACCACUCUCAAUUCCAUCUUCUACAGCAUCUUAUGAGUCCUCCAUUUUUUCAUUUCAGAAUCAUAUUUCUAGUCAUUUUCAAUAUAAUCCUGAAUCUUGUAUUGCAGUUAAGGAUUCUUCUAGUUCUUUGAAUACUUUAGGUCUAUGGCAUCACAGACUUGGACAUCCAUAUCUUAAAAUUGUAAAGUUUGUUAUGUCUAACUGCAAUAUUUCUAUUCCUAAUAAAAAUGCAGUUUUCUUUUUGCUUAGCUUGUUAUUAUGGCAAGAUUCAUAAACUUAUUUUUUCUUCUUCUAACACUAUUUACACUCAACCCUUACAACUUAUACACUCUGAUUUAUGGGGCCCCUUUCCACUUCAAUCAUCUAGUGGUUAUUACUACUACAUUCACUUUGUCGAUGCUUACUCAAGAUUUGCUUGGAUCUACUUGCCUAAACAUAAAUCAGAUGCAUUUUAAGCAUUUCUCAAUUUCAAAACUCAAUUGAAUAACAAUCAGGUUUUAAAAUCAAGGCCAUACAAACAGAUUGGGAUGGAGAAUAUAGAGUUUUCACAAAUUUUUUAACUUCAAAUGGCAUUCUUCAUAGAUAUUCUUGUCCUUAUACUCAUGAACAAAAUGGUUUAGCUGAAAUGAGGCAUAGAACCAUUGUAGAACAUGGUCCCACCUUGUUAGUAACUGCUUCAAUCCUAAUGAAAUAUUGGGAUGAAGCCUUUAGAGCUUCUGUUUAUUUUAGCAAUAGAUUAUCAAUAUUUUUUCUUCAUCAUAAAACUCCUUUAGAAGUUUUGUUCAAAACCCUAUUGGAAUACUCUUCCUUAAAAAUAUUUGAUUGCUUCUGUUUUCCUAACAUUCGUUCAUAUAACAAACACAAGCUUCAAUUUUGAUCCACUAAAUGUACCUUUUUGGGUUAUAGUCUCAAUCAUAAAGGCUACAAAUGUCUUGAUUCUAAUGGCAAAAUUAUUAUUUCUCAGGAUGUCAUUUUCAAUGAGUCUUCAUUUCCUUUUGCUCACAAAAUUCAAUCAUCCUUAUCUAAUUCUAUCUCACCCUCUUUUCAUCAUUCUGCUACUCCCCAAUAAUUUUUUCCUUUGGUAGCUUUACUCAUCCAGAAAUUGUCCAAUCUAUUACUAAUGCUUCAACACCUAUUGUCUCUCUUCUAGCUACUAAUACUUAUGACAAUGUUGCUGGUCAUAAAGCUCUUUCACAGGACCAAUACAAUAAGAUUUAGUUUUUGUUCCAAUGCAACCUUACAAAAAUACUCAUUCUAUGGUCACUUGGUCUAAAACUGAAAUUUUUAAACCAAAGGUUUUGGCUACCACAUGUGAACCUACUUGUGCUUAGGAAGUUUUAUGCAUACAUCAUUGGAAACAAGCAAUGACUUAUGAAUUGAUGGCUUUUCUGAAGAAUAAUACAUGGUCCUUAGUCCCAUUACCACCUAGAAGAACACUUAUUAGCUGCAAAUAGGUAUUUAAAGUGAAAGAAAACCCCAAUGGUUCAAUUCAAAAAUACAAAGCUAGGUUAGUGGCAAAAGGGUUUCAUCAAGUUGUUGGUUUUGAUUUCACAUAAACUUUCUAUCCAGUUGUUAAACUUGCAACUAUUCAGGGUAUGCUUACUAUAGCUUUUUCUAAAGGUUGGUGAAUUCAUCAAUUAGACAUUAACAAUGCCUUUUUGAAUGGAGUGUUGCAUGAUGAAGUUUUUAUGAAACAACCUCCUGAAUUUGUUCAGCAUAACCAGUCUCAUCUUGUUUGCAAAUUACAUAAAGCUUUAUAUGGCUUAAAACAAGCACUAAGGGUCUAGUUUGAAAAGUUAAGUGCAACCCUAUAUUCCUUUGGAUUUAUCUCUACCAAGUCAGAUCAGUCUUUGUUCAUUCGUGUGACAAAAAGUCAUUCUACCUAUAUUCUUAUGUAUCUAAAUGACAUUCUAAUCACUGGUAGUAGUGAACAAGUUGUGAUGCAUCUCAUUACUAGUUUAAAUAGAGAGUUUGCCUUAAAAGAUCUUGGAGAAGUCAACUAUUUUUUAGGGAUUGAAGUGAAGCAUACUACUAAAGGUAUCCACUUUUCUCAAGGAAAAUACAUAACUGAUCUAUUAUGCAAAGCCAAAAUGCAAGGUGCCAAUCCUAUUUCUACUCCCAUGACUAAUGGACAGAAACUUUCAAGCUAUGGAAGUGAAUCAAUUCAAGACGUGAAGUUGUACAAAUCAAUUGUAGGAGCUUUGCAAUAUGUAACAGUUACUAGGCCUAAAAUUGCCUAUAGUGUUAAUAAAGUUUGUCAAUAGAUGCAAGCUCCAUUAGAAUCUCAUUGGAAAGUAGUCAAAAGAAUUCUCAGAUACUUAAAAGGAACUCUUCAUCAUGGAUUACAUUUAAGAAAAUCUCCUAGUUAGAUUUUGGUAGGCUUCCAGAGCUGUGAUUCUCUAGUUUAGCUUUUAGAGUUAGUUUUUGAUUUGGCUUCCAGAGCUAUUAUUUUCUAGUUUAGUUUUUAGAGUUAGUUUUUUUGUUGGCUUACAGAGCUAUUUGUUUUCUAGUUUAGCUUUUAGAGUUAGUUUUUGGUUGGCUUCCAGAGCUGUUAUUUUCUAGUUUAGUUUUUAGAGUUAGUUUUUUGGUUGGCAUCCAAAGCUGUUUGUUUUCUAGUUUAGCUUUUAGAGUUAGUUUUUGGUAGGCUUCCAAAGUUGUGAUUCUCUAGUUUAGCUUUUAGAGUUAGUUUUUGAUUUGGCUUCCAGAGUUGUUAUUUUCUUGUUUAGUUUUUAGAGUUAGUUUUUUGGUUGGCUUCCAGAGCUGUUUGUUUUCUAGUUUAGUUUUUAGAGUUAGUUUUUUGGUUGGCAUCCAGAGCUGUUUGUUUUCUAGUUUAGCUUUUAGAGUUAGUUUUUGGUAGGCUUCCAGAGCUGUGAUUCUCUAGUUUAGCUUUUAGAGUUAGUUUUUGAUUUGGCUUCCAGAGCUAUUAUUUUCUUGUUUAGUUUUUAGAGUUAGUUUUUUGGUUGGCUUCCAGAGCUGUUUGUUUUCUAGUUUAGCUUUUAAAGUUAGUUUUUGGUUGGCUUCCAGAGCUGUUAUUUUCUAGUUUAGCAUUUAGAGUUAGUUUUUGGUUUGGCUUCCAAAGCUGUUGUUUUCUAGUUUAGCUUUUAGAGUUAGUUUUUGGUUUGGCUUUCAGAGCUGUUAUUUUCUAGUUUAGCGUUUAGAGUUAGCUUUUUGGUUUGGCUUCCAGAGCCAUCGUUUUUCUCAGUUUAGCGUUUAGGGUCAGUCCCGUCAUUCAGAGUCACAGCUCCUAGCGUUCAUAUUCACUGACAUUGCGCAUCUUACCUUCAUGGUUUUGCAUUAUUCCUCGAUUUUUCCUCACUUCGUUACCCCGUGCUUAUCGCCUAUUCAUCUCGUAGUCCACAUAGGGCAGUCUCCUUUAGACGUAUUUUUGUUCGUACUCCAGGGUGGUUCGACCGUUACUCAUCUUUGACGUCGAUCUUCGAGUCACUUUUGGAGACAUCUUAGAGGGAGCCUGGAUCCUUAGUGUGGCUUCAGAGGCAUUUUGAGACAUCUUUCUCCUUUAGGAUUAGAGCCUCGUUGUUCAUCUGUUAGUCCGAGUGAGUUCGUAUCUCACUCGUAUCCUUAUGGGGGUUUCUUUGGAUUCUUCGGUAGAGUUCACUUCAUUACACUCACUAGUCACACUUGCUUUUCAUUCCAGUGUUCAUGUUCCUUACACUUGUGAACUCUACCGAAGAGGGGCAUAUUUGUAGACCCCCAUGUGAGGCUUGUUUUGCUGCAGCUUGUUUGGCCAGGUGUCGCGAUCCUAAGCAUCCACUUGUCAAUCCCUGAUUGGCCAUCAUGGAAUCAGAGUAGUGCUUUUGAAGGCCAAUCAGGAGUCGACACGUGUCCAAAGAAUCUGCAAAAAGCUGCAAACAGUUAGAGGAGCGGGGUGGCCAGUUGCUUGGUCUCUUUCCUGGCCGUUGGAAGAUAUUUUUGAGGGAGAAAGAAAAGCCAGUUGCAGGUGAGAGUGAGUGGAGGCUGGCAGCUGCAAAGAGAGGUGGUGUCGUCUGGCCGUUGAGGAUACUUUUAGCUGGCAGCUGCAGCAAAGGAAAGGGGGAUCCCAUUGACAACUAUGAGGAAUUCUGGAGAGCCGUUUGGGAGCUUGGGCAGGGAGCUUCCUAGAGGAGCUUUUCAUGCUAGUCUGAGAGAAGUUGAGAGGAAGAGGGUCUUGAGCAGGCCGUCCGGGGAUUGCCAGAGGAUUGCAGAGGGAGUUUUUUUCCAUGAGAGAGGGAUUUCUGGAGCUAAAAAAGGAGCGAAAACUGUGAGAGGUGAGGGAUUCCAAGGGAAGUUUUCUGGAGUUAGAGGAGCGAAAACUGUGAGAGGUGGUGCUUUUCGGGGGGUGCUUUGGAGAGAGGAAAGAAGAGAUAUUUUGAGGGGGGUUCAUGGGAGCUGCAGGAGAAGGGGGUGCUGUUGAGAGGGGGUUCUUUUUAGCUGUGAGGGGAGGAUUUUGAGAAGAACAGAGAAUAGCUUGAGAGUAGGAGACGAGUUACAAGAGAGGAGAAACACAGCAGUCUCCUUGCUCAUUUCAGCUGGGAGGAAGCCUUUCAGGUGCGUUUUUCUGGACCAUAUACUUAUUGCAGUUGAUUAUCUUGAUAUUGUUGUGACUGUGUUAUAAAUGAUGUGUGCCUUGUUCUUCAUAUGAAAUUUAUUUAAAAGUGAUUCGAUUCCUUUUUAUCUCUUCAUUGGGUGCUUUGAGUCAUAUCUUUGGGUCCUAUUUCCACUGAUUUUCCCACAUGUACAUGAGCCUUUUGACUCCAAUAUGAAAGGGAGCUCGGGUCGGUGUUUUCUUUGGUUCAGUUGAUACUCUGUUUUUGUGCUUGUUCCCUUGUUGUUCAUACUCUGUUCUCGAUGGCCAUUCAUGUCCUCCAAGGAGAAGAGUUUUUUUGGCCAGCAUUGCUUUGAUUUCUGUAUGGGCACAGUCUCUGAGUUUGGGUAGCAAUUGUUUUGUUUGUUCGUGAGAUUGCUGGAUAAUUUUGCUCAAAAAGAUUGGUGACGGCCAUAGCAAGGCAUUAAUGCUAUCUCUCAGCUACUGAUGAUUCUGGAUACAUAUUCGAGCCUCAACAAGGGCAAGGUUGUCGCCCACCUAUCAGAUAUGAGAUACUGUUGCUUAGAGAAUAAAGGUUUGGAUGCUUAGUUGAGAGUGUUAACAGAGCAGAAAAGGCCUCAUUUGAACGCUAUGUCAUCCCCCAUGGCCUGAAACUCCAGUGUUUCCCCCAGUUAUCGAAGCGUUGAUGCAACUUACCUCCAGUGUCAGAAUCAAAAUCUUGUUCAGCAGUUAGAGGUGCAGAAGCAUGAGUUGCAUGAUCUUGAAGACAGAAUCAAAGAAUUAAAAGACAGGCCAACUUCAUAUGAUGACAUGUACGUUGAUUACCAUGAACCAACUCUGGAGUUAGUUGGUUGAUGAUUUAAUCCUACUUGGAGUACAAGUGGGGGAAGGUCAAAAUGCUAUGCAAACCUUGGGCCAUGCGGACCAUUCUUGGGGUCUGAUUCCAUCAUAUCCUGCUGAGGAGAUAUUUCUCUGUAGGCUGCUAUAAACAGAUUCUUUUGAAAGCAAUGGAAAUGAUGGAAUUGUUAAAUAUGUUGAAGAAGCCCUUGCUUUUCGACAUUCUUCUACUCUGGAGUUGAUGAAACCUCUGGAAGAUACCAUCGAUGCUCAGAGGGUCAAAACAGAAAGCAUAGCACGGGUUUUGCAUGGAAAGCUAUCUGCAGAAGAUGCUAUCAUCCAAUUAAGUAAGAUUGAUGUUUUGAUGAAAGAGGAGGCUAACAUCUGCGUGAGGUGAGCUGGAAGAGAGCCUGGAAGAACUUGAAGAAAGUAGAAGAAAGCUAGUUAAUCUGAAAAUGCAAAAGGAUGUAGCAUCUGUUGGUGCAUACCCCAAUUCAGAGUGCUAUAAAUGGAAGCUUGUCCCCUGAAAAGCAUGCAGACAGGACAAUGGAUUUCAGAGAAUUGAAGGAUUCAGUUGAGGAAACGAAGAUACUGGCAGCUGACCGUCUUUCUGAGCUCCAUAAGGCACAGGAAGAUAAUCUAAUCUUGUCUAAACAGUAGCAAGAUCUACAGAAUGAACUGAAGGAUGACAAAUAGGUUGACAGGGCUUAGGUUGUGCAAAGGUGGAAAGAACUGAAUGCUGUUUCCCCCAGCACCAAUGUAGCAGAUGCAAAUCUUAUAAGAAAGCCAAAAAGAAGUUGUUCUCGAACGACGCCGGCGGCGAAGCGCCUCCGCCAUCACCACCUCACUGCCAACUCAGUCCAGCUGGGUAUCAAACUCAGCUACGGCAUCCACCACUGCCAACUUAGUCCAGAUGGGUACCAAAUUCAGCUGCAAUGUCUAUUUCUCAAGGUCUUGCGUGGCGUCGUCGAUGGGCAUCAUCACCAAAUCUGCCAUGGUCGUGGCCUUGGCCACUGUUGACGACGCUGGGACCAUCCACUCCAGCAACUCCGCCGUUCCGAGUGCUUCUGGCGGAGAUCCUGUGCAUUCAUCUAGUGCCAAUAAUUUCUUCUGUUCCCUGCUCGGUCAAAACGCGCUAAUGUGUUAGUGUCAGGAGUAGGUCCUGGCACUCCUAUGAUUUGUCUCUAGUUCAUCAAUGAGUCUCGAAUAUUCACCACCUCCAAGUGUUCGCAUCUUUGUUUUUAAGCAGCUUCUGCCUCUACCCCGUCUUUUACACUGUUGCUAUGGAAGUACAUGGCAAGCACAAAUGGGAGGUGUUAUAGGAUUCACCAUGAGGUUGAAUUAGGAAGAGUAGCGGCUGAUCAUCUCUAAGUUCGAAUCUGGCAAUGUCGGGAAUUAUGUAGUGAUGUCUAACCUAUAUGAAGCAGGUGCUAGAUGGAGAUGGCGUCAUGGAGAUAUGGAUGCUGAUGUGGACAUCUCGGCAUUGUCAGACAAUGGUCAGAUAACAGGAAUGCUUACUCAGCUCAAGAGAGUAAAUGACUGGUUGGAUGAGAUGGGGUCUAGCAAGGAUCAAGGUCGUGCUCUGUAUACGCAGGCAGUCAAAUACCUUCAUUCGAAAGCAGAAAAUACAGAGGAUGACCUCAAAGCGGCCUCCUUUAUUGAAAGAACUGAAGAAAAACCAAGUAGCUCAGAAAUGAGUCCAGAAGAAGUGGCUGAAUUUGUACCUGUUCAAAAUCACGUAGCUGCUCAUGUGCUAGAAAUGCAAGAAGUUCAAGAAGGGCCUGCAAAGGCUGUCACUCAUGUUCUUGAUAAUGAGAAUUUUCAGGUACCCGGGCAUCUUCACUCUUCCUCUUCAGGCUUUCUCUGCAGAAUCAAGCAAGAGGUCUUCAUGAUCCUGAAGUUCUGGCAAGGGAAACAGUGUUUAGUGUGAGUGAAAUAGAGGCACCAUACGAGCUGUUUAAGAAGGUCAGCAGCGCUGUGAUUGAUGGCGGUACAUUCAAUGGUUUGAGUUUGACGCAGGGUUUUCAGAAUUUGAUGAUCCCAAUCCACAAGUUGAUUGAGUAAGCACAGUUAUGAUCAGGAUUUCAUCCCUGCAUGGCCAUUCCUCACCAACUCCCCCACUCAAGUAUUUUUGCAUGGAGCCUUAGGCACGUGUCCUCCUUUCUUUUAUUCUUCAUCAUCUUUGAUUUUAAAACAAUUGCCCCAUGUCCCGUUUUGUAAAUAUUUUCUUCAAUUCAUCUUUUCAAAUAAUCCCGACUCCUCUACUUUCACCUUUCGUUUUUUUAAGAUACCAAAAAUCCUAUUUUCAAUAAAAUUUGGUUGCCAUUUUCUUUCCGGCAAGCCACUUUUGAAUUUUCUUUGUUUUCUAAAAAUGUUUUAAAAUAAACAAGGAUUAAAUUCUGUAAUUCCGAAUAAUGGAAUUUAUGAAAUUAAUUCAUGCAAAAUAAAAGGGCUUUGGUGGGGGCCAACAUCAAAUGAAUUUUCAUCAAAUAAAACUGAAUUUGAGUGAAAUGCCAUGUGUGAUGUUGAUAGUUCUUUAUCUGUUUACUGACUCGCGGGCUAUAUUUUAUAUUCAUUAAUUGUGCACUAACCCCAUUUCUUGAUAGCGCAUGAUGGUGUAUUCAUUGAUUUUCUCAUCAUUGUCACGUCAGCUUUAUUUUAUUAGUAAAGACCCGACUUUAGGGACUUAGAGGGGUGCUACGGUCUUUAUCGUACCUUCCCGAUAAGUAACCUGACCCCCGAACCUAAUCCGAUUUUUCGUAGACCAACCUUUUCCAAAACAAGGAGUCACACUUAGGGUUUUUCUUUCUUAUUUUGUUUACCUUUUAAAAAUAAAACAAAAAUAAGUGGCGACUCCAAGUCAUUUUUCUUAAUCAAUAAAAAUCAAUUUUUCAAAUAAAAAUCGAGCUCGUCAUCGAGUGAGAAACGCAUGAGCCGAAAUGCGGGGUCCACACUCCUACUCUUGAUCUUGUAGCAUUUUGUGAUGUCUAUUGGGCCUUUAAUCCUAAUGACCGAAGAUUAACUUCAGGAUUUGGUGUAUAUUUUGGUUCAAAUUUAGUCACUUGGCAGUCAAAGAAAUAUAUUGUAUUUAGAUCAAGUAUAAAAACAAAGUACAGAAGCCUAGCUAGUUUGGUUGCAGAAAUCACUUGGUUACUAUCUCUUCUCUCAUAAAUUAAAAUCACUUUGAAUACACCACCAGUUAUUUGGUGUGAUAAUCUUAGCAUUGUUAUGUUUGUUGCUAAUCCAAUAUUACAUGCCAUGACAAAACACAUUGAAUUGGAUUUAUAUUUUGUCAAGGGAAAGGUUUUGCAAAGAAAGGUUUCAGUCCAACAUGUGCCUUCCAUUGAUCAAGUAGUAGAUGCCUUGACAAAAGCUAUCUCAAGCACUCAGUUUGUAAAUCUAAGAAACAAACUCAAAGAAGAAAAUCUUUCUACGUUAAGUUUGAAGGAGAAUGUUAAGAGAUAGUUUCAUAUGGUUACAAGAUGUACACGUGUCAUAUGCUCAUUGGUUUUUUUAUUAUUGUUAGAGAAUUUGUUAGUUAGGUCUACUAUAUAUAUUACUCUGUAAAUAGCAUAAUAAAGAAAGAGAGAAAAAUAAAUUAGAAAAUCACUUUACUUUCUCAGUUUCUGUUACGUUCCUUUCUUAUCUAUGUUACUUUCUUUACACCCAGUAUCCCCUCAUAGCUCAAAUAUAUCUCUAUAGUGCUUACCCAAGUGAAAUGAAUCUUUAGAGCUUACCCAAAUCAAAUGAAUCAGAAAUAGGAUAAAAUUGAUGGACAGACACUGAUAUAAAGGUGAAAUGAAUACUGUAUUGGUUGACUUUGGAGAAGGGUGAGAAUUACUGUGUUGGAGAUCACCAUUUCCAAGAGGUGGGCAUUAAAAAGAACCUGGAGAACUGUUCAGUUGAUCCUAACAUUCCCCGUCUGAUUCAAAAGAAAAUGGCAUCAACCAUCUCAGAUUCAGCGACGAUGAGGUGUAUACUUUUUUUGAGCUACAAGUUGUAAACUACAACCCAUAACUGUUGAGAAUAAAAAGGCACUUGCCUAUUCUUAAUUACUAUUUAUUUUUGGUUUUCAGAUGUGCGCUUGUAACCGGAGCAAGUAAAGGAAUUGGACUAGAGAUAUGCAGACAGUUAGCUUCUAAUGGAGUCAUGGUGGUAUUAACAGCUAGAGAUGAGAAGAGGGGUCUUGAAGCUGUGGCAAAGCUUCACGAAUCUAGCCUGUCUAAUGUAGUUUUUCAUCAGCUUGAAGUGAUGGAUGCCAAGAGUAUCACUACCUUGGCAAAAUUCAUUGUGACCCGUUAUGGGAAGCUUGAUAUUUUAGUAAGGAAUCAACCCUUUUUGGAAGGACAUUUUUUUACUCAUUUUCCUUCUGCUAUGGAAAAAAAAUUCUUAGGGUUUCGCGAGUUUGAGAUUAGUAUGAUACCUAACUUAGAGGAUCCUGAAAAUUUUAUACCUCAAUCAGGAAGCAAAGCAAAAACAUUUUAAUCAUGUAGAGAAACAUUUCUUGUUGCCUUACUUCAUUUUACUAUGAUAUUAACAAUAAACGCAAAUUUGAGAAUUCAAGAAAAUGAAAAUCAGGUAAUCUGCCAUUCAUUUUUAGCAUAUUAGGAGAAUCAGAGGGAUUCUGAAUUGAUUAUAGCAAUAUGAAAUCAAAAUUUCAUGCAGGUGAAUAAUGCAGGGGUUAGUGGAGCCAUUACCGACUGGGAAGCAUUUAAGACCUUAUACCUUGAGGAUAGUAAGGUAUGUAAUUACAUGCUCUUGAAAAAUCAUAACUAGGAAGUCUAAGCUCAUUAUCAAUGUCUAUCAACCAUAUAUUGAAAUGAAUAAUUUUGUUUCAUUUCUAAAUUUAAAGAGGACAGAGUCUGAUAGAAUCCAUGACUCAAUAUUGUUUCACUCUUGCAGAAUAAUACUAAUGUAGCUGAAUUGCUGAAUAAAGCCUCAAAGGAAACUUAUGGGUUGGCUGAAGAAUGUGUAAAAACAAACUACUAUGGCACCAAAGGAGUGACUGAGGCCCUUUUUCCAUGCCUUCUGCUAUCAAAUUCAGGAAGAAUUGUGAAUGUGUCUUCAAGUCUUGGAAGCCUUCAGGUAUGUAAAUGUAAUUGCACCUUCAAGGGGAAAUUCUAAAACCAAAUUCAAAGUUUAUAAUGCACUAGUCCUGUCUACCAUUUCCAUUAAUGUUGAGCUCUUCCUUAUUUUAUCAGUUUGUCUCCAAUGAAAGGGUCAGAAUGGAGCUAAAUGAUGUUGAUGUACUCUCAGUAGAGAGAUUAGAUGAGAUAGUGAAUGAAUUCCUCAAUGAUGUUAAGGAGGACAGGUUACAUGACAGAGGCUGGCCAACUCAGACAUCUGCAUAUACAAUCUCCAAAGCAGCCGUGAAUGCCUACACAAGGAUUGUUGCCAAAUCAUACCCAAGUCUCCUCAUAAAUUGUGUCUGUCCUGGUUUCGUCAAAACUGAUAUAAAUUCCAACACCGGUUUCUUUCCUGUUGAAGUGGGUGCCAAAGGCGCUGUUAUGUUGGCUUUGCUUCCAGAGGGAGGACCUUCUGGCCUCUUUUUCGAAAAGAUGGAGGCAUCAACCUUUUGAUCAUAAGUCAGUUAUAAGAACGAGUUGGUUUUCCGCUUUAUGCAUUUCCUAUGGUGGUAUUUGUAAGGUUAUCGAAGUUUUCCUAUGCUUUGCUGAGACAAUUGGGUGAUAGCUGUGAAAUUUCUCUUGUAUUCGGUGUAAUAAUUAUGAACUUUAGCUCUCUGUGUGAAAUUGAUAAUCCUUUUAAAAGUAAGAAGUAGGAAACCAGUCUCAUCCCUUACUUUGGAAUGUUCAUGUAUUAUUCAUCUCAUUAUAUGCAACCAGUUCUUAUUUAAUAAAGAAAUUCCACGGGGUAGGACAUGGGAUUGGAAGCUCAAUCUGAACACUCAUUCAGGGCUUCCACAUCUGGUCAAGGGCGGCGCAUUGAUCACAUUUACAAUGACCUGCUUCUUAUGAAAUAAAAAUUGUCCAUUUACACUCUAAGACGCCGCAUCCUCACACGUAUAUCACAACACUGAACACGCCAAAACAUGGCCAACUCAUACAUCUGCAUAUUAUUCUCCAAGGCAGCUGUCAAUACGCACAAGGAUCAUUGCUAAAUUGUAUCCCUGUUUCUACGUCCAUUGUUUUUGUCCUGGUUUCGCUACCACUGAUAUGACUUCCAACAAUGGAAUAUUUUCUUUCCAUAUUCAGGAAGAAUGGUGAACGUGUCUGCAAGUUUUGGGAAGCUUCAUGUGUGUCCAGGUUUCAGCAGAGCUGAUAUGGCUGAGCAUUCCCAUGCCCAAUCCACCAAAGAAAUGGGCCCGAGUUGUAAAAGCCCCAACCCCACUUAAAGAUCAGCUUUGAGGUGGACCAAGCAAAGCCCAAUCCAGAAAAUAACUGAACUUGGGUUGCAGCUAGAGCUCUGCCGAUAGCCAUGGAGCAAAGAAUAGAAAAAUGGCAUUAGAAGUCAAGAAUUUUGUGCGACAAAGAUAGAAAGGUAGAGAGAGAGUUGAAUGGACCAGCAACCCCCGCUCAAUUCCUCAGAGGAUGUGGCCUCACAAGUCUUUACACAGUUUCCCUACAACUAGCUGGAUUGCAUUCCACCCUAACCGUGUGGGCCACUCUUCUCCACCAAAAGUAUGAAGCCUGAAUGGGUAUGAUAUCGAUGUCCUUUUCUUGUAUUUAAAUAUAUGUAUUUCAACAUGUUUUCAAGCUAUAAAGUAAAAUGAUUUGAAAGAGAUCAAACCAUCCUAUCUAUGAUUCUAUACUCUCCACAUCCUAAUUCUUCCCGCCUUCUUCAUCUUCUUCAAUUCCCACCACUUUUGACAAAUUAAAAUGAUUUUUAAAACAUUAUAUUUUGUUUUAGUCAUUGACACUUUUCUCCCUAAGUCAUUUUCAAGUUAUUAACUAAAAUACUCUCAACAUUUUUAAAAAAUAAAAACAUUGCAAAAAGAUAAAUCAGAUAUCAUGAAACAAUCAUUUUAUAUCUGACCAAAUAUUCCAAAAAACCCACCAUCCAUGCAACCACCAAAUCCCAAUCCCCAAAACUUUGAUCAUCCUAUUAUCCUACCUCACCAAUUCCAACUAGGCAAGGCAUAGGGACACAAACCCAGCUUUUACUUUAACUAAUAACUACUAAUUACCCUCCUCCCUCCAUUGGUUAAAGCCUUAAAGGACAAAAUCCCCCAUCAUUCUGCACACUGCGAGACCCAAAGCCGCGUGAGCACACGGACCGGACCCUGUCAGCCCCAAAAACAAAAUUGGAAAAGGUCGGGUAGCAGUGCAGACUGCAGAGAGAGCAGCUUUUCACCGUCUUCCUUUCCUUUCCUUUUUUUAUUUUUUUAUUUUUAAAUUAUAAUUAAUAAAAAAGGUCGAGUUGGGAAUCCAAGACAUGAAAUGAAGUGACGACCCACCUAAGACCUAAAAGGCCAAAUCAACAGAGAAUUGGGACCCACACGGUUGAACAAAGUUGGCAUCAUGAUUCUUUUAUUUUUUUCUUUUAAUGUUUUUUAUGGGGUACCCGACAGGUAAUAGCCGUUAUGACCCCACAUUGGCGACUAAUCCACUACCCGUCCAUGUAUUCAAAGUGAAUUAGGUAUAUUCCACCUCCACGUAGCCUCAAUUAUUAUCAUGUUAUCAACCUCCACUUUUAUUCCAUUUUUUAUUAUUAUUAUUCCUUCUUUUUUUAAUUACAAAAUUGGUUCCUCUAGAUUUUCUAUGCCAAGCCAUCACAAAUCUCAAAGUUUUUGGAUUACUAGAUAUUUUGUCCAGUUGUGUGUCAUUUUGCAUUUCAUGUCACACGUGACUACAUCUUCCAAGUGGAUUUACCAAAAAAAACAAAUCUAAGAAAAUUAAGAAUAUAAAUCCCAUUUGUAAAGGAAAAUGAUUAGAAAAACAUUUACAUUGUAUUAUCUUAUUUAGGAUAAAAGAGAAAGUUUUUAUAACCAUACAUAUGAACUCUUCCUUACUACUCUUUUAUACUCAAAAAUAAUAAUAUUUUUAUGUUUAAAUAAUAUCUCAUCUUUCAUAAAAGCAAUUCUAAUAAAAUAUUAUUGCCAAGGAUUAUAAAUUAAAAAUAAUUUUACUAAAAUCCCACUAAACAAUUCAUAUAUAUUGAUCGAUAAGGUCUAACAGGAUCAUAAUUUCAAAAAACUCUAAAAAUAUUCUUUUUUUCAAUGUUUUCGGUAGACUUUUGGCACUUGAAUUCUAUGUGGUAUGUUAACGUUACAAUAAUUCCAAAACAUUUCUACAACUAUAUUAAAAUUUAACACCCGUGCUCUUUAAUCAAUCCGUUAUGAUUCAAACCAUUUACAAACCCAAAAUUUAAUGCCAUUUUAAAAUACCACAUAUAUAAAAUUUUAAAUUAAUAAAAUUAUUCAAUAAUAGUAUGGGUUAAAAUUUAAAACACAUGUUUAGAAAAUUAGGGGAUCUAAUAUAUGACAAGGAAAAUAGGCUUGGCUAGGGUCUUAAUGAUAUUAUGUGUUGAAAAGUUUGAAGGGGCUCACAAAUUCAGACCAUGUUCCCAAUUGGUCCACAGCCAUAACAUUGGACCUAGAGAGGGCGUUAAAAGUGACCAUGAAAAGACGCCACUGUCAUUCUUUAUCCCGAUGAGUAAGAGUAAGAGAUAUUUCUUUUGAAAUAAACGUACAUAUAAAUAUUGGUUUAACAUUAAAUAAAAUAAUAUGAUACAGAAAAGUGGGGUAAUUGAGUGAAAAGUCCGUGGAGAAGGGUUGCACCGAAAAGGAGUGGUGGACUGAGGACUAUAUGGUUGAAUGGUUCUACCUUAUUGAUGGAUAUGUUUUGUAUUAAAAAAAUAAUUACAAUUAUAGUAUAAUGAAUUGAUAUGUUGCUAAAGUGAUCUUGUAAUGAUUUUCCCUGUCUCCCCCUUUUGCAUGUCGUGACAAUUUACCUGAAUUAUUUUAUGUAUUUUUAACUUAGUCUAGUUACACUCACCCUCUAUCUUUAUCCCUUUAUUGUGAUUAUAUUUUUAUAAUUACUAGGGAUACCUGUGAAGGAAAAGGAAUAUUGAAAAUGAUUCAUGGGGUGGGCCCUAUAGGGUAGAAUUUAUAUUACUUUACAUUUUUCAAGAGCUUUUUUAUAAUGGGUUAAUUUUAUUAGUAUUUUCUAAAGUUUUGAUUAAAUACCAUUAAUUUUUAUAUAGAUUUAAAGUUUUAUCAAAUAUCUCUCUUAUUUUGAAUGAGAAAUGGGGUGAGUGAAAAUUAAAAAUUAAAAUAAUAUGAAUAAUAUUUGAUAAAGUUUCAAACCAAUUCAGAUCAUGUAUUUUUAAUCAAUGUCUUAGAGAAGGUAAAUGAAAUUAACUUAAAAUUUUAAAAAUGAGAUAUUCAAUUAAUUAAUUAUUUAAAUGUUCAUAAACCUUAUUGUGGCUCAUUUAAUGGAGUAGUUGAUUUUUUUUUUUUUUAAUUUUAGUAGAUAAGUUGAAAGAAUAGACUUUGAUUUGACAUGGAAAAAAUUUGCAACUCAAAAAUAUCUUGGUAUAAGCAUUUGUCCAAAGGCACCUUUUGCCCAAUCUCAUGAAAAAUAUAAAUAUUUUUUUAGGCCUUUAAUUUGCUUUAUUUAAAAGUGUUUUACUCCUCCGUCUAGAUUUGGAAAAAAAAAAUGAAAGCAAAAAUAAAAAAUAAAAAAAAAUGAGAAUUUUUUUCAUUGGUUAUGAAAAAAAUAAUUAUAAUGAAAAUUAUUGAAAGUUUUAUACUCUUUCGAAUUCUUUUAUUUUUUUUCACAUAAAAUCCCUUUAACUUUUUUCUCUUUCCAAGUUUAUUCUUGUGCCAAAAUGGUGUAUGAAAAAGGAAGACCAAGGAAGCUACUAGCUUUAGUAUAAGAUCCAAUUAACUAUAAACAUAAUAAUGAUAAUGCGUUUAUGGGCGUUAUUAACAAUAAUAAUAGUAAAAGUAAUAAUAAGCAUGCAUAUGAUAUAUCCUAAAGUAUAAUAUAUAGGGUUAGAAGGAGGUUAAUAGUAGCUAAAAGGAGGUGUGGUUAGUGGGGGUUGUUGUAUUUGUUCGGGACAUGGAGGACACCAAAGUCGUAGGAGACGUGAAACGGAGUUAUUGCUUAUGACUUAUGACUCAUGCCCUUAUCCAAUAUAUUACACUACACACUACCUCAACAUCACAUUAUAGUUGUACUCUCUCCCAUGCAUCAAUUUCAAGUAUCCCCCAUGUGGUCUCCCACCAUCACCUCCCCCGCCUCCCCCCACCAAUUAAUUAAUCCAUCCAAUCCAUUUGCGUCAAAGAAAUCUGACUAGCUAGCAUUUAAUCAAGCUAGUUUUUUUUACAGUCUUCAAAACUCAGACAAUUAUAUCCCCUAGUCACUGCAUGUUUGAUUAACCUCUAUGUCCACGUCUGUUUAUGAUUUGUAACCCGGGGUACCCUAGGGCAAGUGGGUUUUCAGGACUUUCCAUUGCAGUCGCCACUUUCUAAGGCAGACCAAAGAUGCAGGGUAAAAUGAGAGCGCCGGUAAAGAAAAAGGGAGAAGAAGAAGAAGAAGAAGGGGAAAAAAGGGGUUUACACCAUGGAUGGGACUUAAAGGCGCGGCGCCCAUUUUACUUUGUUAUUAUUUUGGAUUUUCCCCACUCUUUUUGCAAAAGUUUUACCCUCCAUGGUUUGAACUUACACCAUCUUCUAUAAUCAAUCACCAACCAUCCAAUUAUGUUAAACUAACAACCCUUGAUCCACGUGUCCACCAAGCAAAGGACAUGAAGAUGUAGGUGAAGCCUAGCGUGGAGAGUCUUAGAACUAGUCCAAUGGAAGCCUUCAUCUUUUCUUCCAAGGAGGACUUUGGUGUUCCAAACUUCCAAUGGGUCUCUCUCAUAUUUUCUUUAAUUUGGGUGCUGUCUUGGUGGGGAAAUUUGAUUUCCCACCCCCCUUUCUUGACUAACGGAACUAGGGCAUUUUGAGUCAAUGCAUAUGAAAUUUGUAAUGGGUUGAUGCCUAUUUUGUAGGUUAGCAAAUUAAACUAUUGAAAUCUACCAUGGUCCAUGGGCAUGAACGAUUCAAUGCAUACAUAUCCAAGAAUUUCUAGCUAACUCUUUUUGGUUCCAAGUCAAAAAAGAAGGAGAAGAGCUCUCUGAUUAAAGGUUUCCUAUGCUUGGAAAUGCCUUUUGAAAUUGGGUAGGCUACUUUGGUGGCCAUGAGGGGGGCACAUGCAGGCCUUGCUUUGUUUAACCUCUGAAUCAAAGAUGAAAUGAUGAUUCAACUUUUUCCAUUCAUAGCAAGAGUUUUUAAAUUAAACUUAAACAUUUGAAUUGUGGGGCUUUUUGGGCUCAUUCAUAUGGAAUAAUGUUAUUUUCAUUAGAGUUUGACAGCCUCUCUAAACCAUGUAAAAAUCCAUUAUGAAAAAUGAUUGUCUCUCUGAAAGGUUUUCCUACCCUAAUAAAGACAUUUUUUAGGGUUUCCAAACAUACUUGUCCAUUUUUAUGUUGUAAAAAAAUAAAAUAAAAUAAAAGAAGGGUUGUUAUGUCUUUUGAAAAGUUCUAUUUCUUAUAAAGCAACUAUUUUCAUUUCAUUUUAAAGUAAAAUAGCUUUACUUGCAUUACACUUUCUUUUAAAAAAUAAAUAAUAAAUUUUUACAACUUUUAGGGAAAAAUAUCAUUUUUAAUUAAAAUUUUUAAUCAUACGAGAUAAAGAAUGGGCACGGGCAAUGACUUAGAAGCAAAAGGUUGGACAAGAUUCCAUUAAAGUUUUUCAAUAUGUAUUAUAAUUUCUAACAUUAUUAAAAGAACGCAUCCACUUGAAUGAUAAUCAAAUUUUUUCAAUGUAAUCCUUAUUUCUUAAAUCAAAUAAAGUCAUACCAUUUUUACUAUUAAAUUGAAUGUUCCAAGAAAUUCCAUAGAUAAAACAAAAAUUUAAAACACGAGACGUGACAAUAUGAUAAUACAUAGAUUAUUUGUUGGAGGGAAAAAUUUUUAAGUGAAAAAAACAAAAAUUCUCUCGAUUUUCUAAGUGAACAGAAAGAAUCUUACCUAAUUUCAUUUUCAAAUUAGUGGUGAUAUGACUUUAGAUUAUAAUAUAAACUAAGUAGUAUAAUGACUUUAUAUUAUAAUAAAAAAAAAUGUCAUUGAUUAAUUCUAAACAUACCUCUUGGGAUAUUCUUGCGGGCAGCCCACUAUUCGGGCAUGGCCCCAUAAGCAUCCAAUAAUGAUGGGUAGGUCACAACUUUACCAUGGCUGGUAUUAUGGUUAAAAAAAAUUAUUAUUAAAAAAAAUCCAAUGAUUUCAUGCAUUUUUUCUUAGUAAAACAACAAUUAACCCCAAUGAGGAUCGCUUGGAACUUACUCAAUGAGCAGCCCACGUGACCAAAAUUUCCACGUAGGAAAAUAAACCUUAACUUCCUCCAAUACUAUGAUAUUACAUAUGUUCAAAAGGUUCAUUGCUGAGGUACCUUUUGAGAUCAUACUAUGUUUGUAGAUUUUUUAUUUUUUAUAUAAUUUUUUCAAUUUAUUGAUAAAAUGAUUUUAUUAUCUCAAAACUAGAGGGAAGUAAGGUUGAGCUCCCGCUUUUAGCGGUGGAUUGUGAAUACCGGCGCAGGCAUAUGCAGAGAGACAUGGAGAGAGAGGGUGAGUAGAAUAUAGAGUCCAACCUCCAACCCCAUAGCCAUAGGGGCCUUGUCAGUAAGAAAAGCAGGCGGUGGAUAAAAGCCAAAAGGGAGAAAGAUAACAGUAAUUACAAGAGCUUCACUUGGUUAUAAGAACUGCAAGAACCACUCCAAGAUCCAUCUUCCUUUCACUUGAGAGCCUUCACUCAUUCACAUUAUGGACAAUCAGCGCCACACUCCUCUGCUUAAUUGGGCUUACUACUGCCAAGGCAAGGUAGUUAAUGCUUCCUUCUCCUCCUCCUCCUCCUCCUCCUCCUCCUCCUCCUCCUCCUCUUCUUCUUCUUCUUCUUCUUCUUCUUCUUUUGUGUAAUGUUCAGGGGGGAAUAUGAAAUGGGGGUUUUCAAUUUUUCGCAUUUUUGUUUUGUGGGUUGUGUGAAAUGGGGGUCAUGUGUUUGCAGUUUGAGGUGUGGAUUUUCACGAGUAUAAUGGUGUGUUAGUUUUGAUGGUGCAGAAUAUGGAGGAGCUGAGGCAUUCUCUUGUGUGUACAACUCUGGAGCUGGAAACCAUGAGGCUAGCAGCUCAGGAGGAGCUAAGGAGGAGGGAUGAUCAAUUGGCACAUCUUAAAGAUCUUCUUACCAGGACAAUCAGGGAAAGGGAUGAAGCUCAGGACAAGUGCCACAGGCUCCUCCUUGAGAAAAUCCUGCUUCAUCAGCAGCAUCAACAAACUGCUAAUCUCUCUGGGAUUUCUAGCAUUGAGGAUGAACCCAGAAGAGGCAUUGACUCCAACAAUGGUUUUUCCUCUUCGGACUGUGAAGAAAGCAUUGUUUCUUCUCCGGUCAUCGACCCGGUUCCGCCCCCACAAUUGCCUCAACAGCAACCGCCGCCGCCCCCACCACCACAAUUGCAACAACCACCAUCUAUGCCAGAAGCAGCAUUGCAAUUGGUGUCCGAUAAGCCAUUGCCUGAAAAAGGGAAGCUUCUCCAGGCAGUGAUGAAAGCCGGUCCACUCCUUCAGACCCUUUUGCUGGCCGGACCGCUUCCUCAGUGGCGACACCCACCACCGCAUCUGGAGUCUUUUGAGAUCCCACCUGUGACCAUUCCUUCACAACCACCACCACCACAACCACUGCUCCACCAAGACUCUCUGAUCAAUUCUAGCCCCAACAACAACAACAUCAACUGUGGUAGAGUUGAUCGGAAAAGGGCUCUAUGUGAAGACUCCGACACUUCCAUAGAAACCAAGUACCAAAGGGUUGCUCUCCCUUGACCACCACUACAGAGAGUAAUCCUUAUAAUUUAAUAUUUAUAUCCCCAUUUAAAUACCAUUAAAGGUUAGUGAAACUGAAACUGCCAGAUGGGUAUGAGAUUGAUCUAGCAUUUGUACAGAAGUUUGUCCUAGAAAAGAUGUCGAAUUUAACUAGAAGCAGAGACAAGUGAGAGAAGCAGAGAAGACCAUUGUUUCAGGCUUUUCCGCCAGUGUUCUGAUUGGAGAUUUGCUCUGUUUUUUUCUUUUUUUUUUAAUUUUCCUUUACACUUCAAUUUUCCAGCAUGAUGUGAAAAGGGGGUUUAUUUCUCCAAAAAUUAGUGCUAAGAUGUAACAUGUAAUUCUGAUAUUUAGCUCUGUAUGUGUGUGUGAGAGAGAGAGGGAGAGUGAGGUGUGAAAGAUCACAUCAAAAGCUUUGAGAUUUGGGUAUGGAGUUGUUGAGAUUGAGAGAUGAGUGUGGCCAACAACCAGAAGG